rnacentral:lncRNA from 1 species
CCAUGUCACAUAUAGUCAAGUUUAUAGCCAACAAGUACAAUAGCUAGAUAUAAAUAUGUACUACUUUGUUGAUACAUGGCCCGCCUCACUCUCUCACAAAGUACCUAGGAGCACGUGCUACAGCCGGCUGUUAACUAGUAGCCCGCUUCUCUUCUCUCUCCUCUUCUCUCUCUUCUAAGUAAGCAAGAAUAUAAUAUUUAAUGUCUUACAGCCUGCCUACAUCACCUUAUUGUACUUGCUCUGAGAUGGAGGGCCCAGGGCGCGCGAUCGGGCAUGGGACGUGGCGCUUUCCUUUUUCGCCUGUCCGCACAAGGCGCGCGGGUGCGCCUUCCUUUUUCGAGAGAGCGCUAGCUCCAGCGAACGGGCGUCGCUGAGUCGCGUCUUGCGUAGUACAGUAGCGACGGCACCAACGGAAAAUACGAAGGAGAACCCGAGUUCCAGCACAUCCUAUAUGUAAAAAGAUAAUUAGUAAUUCAAAAAAAGUUCAAAAAAAUCUAAAUCUUUUUGGUAUCAAAAAGUAUUGUAGUCGUAUAAAAAAAUUCAUAAAAAAAUGACUUCCGUUGCAUCCUGGGUCGAAGAUUUGGUAAAAAAACGCUAUAUACAAAUACUAUACACGCUAUAUUGUCGUCAUAAACUUGUCUUUUUUGCCCCGAAGUCAAUAUGAAUCAUUUCUUGUCCAAACUUUUUAUGAGUACAAUACCUAAUCAUCUUUGAUUUCAAACAAGAUUUGGAAUUUUUUGAACUUCUUUUAAAUUACUUUCUUUUUUUGCGCAUGUAGGGUGCGCGGGUACCCGAGAGCACCAAGUUCCCAUCCCGGCACCAACCCCACUCUCAAAAAACGCCGCAUCAAUGUUCAAUUUAUAUUUCCCUGGGACUGACUUCUGCCAUCUCAAAUCAGAUCGAACCAGACGGCUGGGUUGUCCUGGACAGCUGGUGAAGGGAGCAAAGUGGACGAGCUCAAGCGCGCAACCAACACACGGUAGAGAUGUAAAAAAGACACGGUAGAGAUUAAGUAAUGAAGUACGUAACUGAUAAUCUGACGAAGAAGCCACGGUACUAGCCAUCAAAACCAUCAUACGAGGGACUAGUCAAGCUACUACUAGUAGACCGACAAACAGAACUGGACUGAAUGUCAAAGCUAAUAACGCAUUAUUGAUACGCAUCCAGGCCAACAGGCGUUCACAAAACCUAGGACGAGCACAAAAAUCCCAGAAGAUCUCCAGCGGUAUAUGCAGGGGUAGCUGUGUGGUUCUACAGCAGCAGUUUGUAUCGAUGAAAAAGCAAACAGCCGGACCUAGGGGUCGGGGAUCCUAGCGCGAAGAUGGACAGGCAUAGGAACAGGAACAAAGUGCUGCUCCCGAUACUCUCUGUAUUUGGCAUCCGCGUGCUCAAUGUCCUGCAAAAUCUUGUCCCAGGCCUUGGCCACCUUGCGAUCUCUGACGGCUGGCGUGUACCUCCCACUUUUCUUGAGGCAGUACGCCAGUAGCCUGCUCUGCCCUAUACCCUCCCCUCGUACAGGCUGAUCUGGUGUCUGAGCUUUCUAUUGGUUACCUUGUCAUUUGUCUUGUAUCUGUCAUACAGAUAGGCGAAGUCUGUUUCUUCCGGAAACUGCAGAGCAAGAAGGAAGUUGUGGUGUAAGAACCAAUUCUGCAUACAGAAUUCCUAAUGCAAUAUGACACAGAUCAAAAGAUGGGACAUGAUUUUGGCAUCAAGCCUCCAUGAACAAAACAAAAGUUAAAACGCAAAGCUAUGAAAACACAACCAUCCUUUUUGAAAGACUUGCGCCAAGAACAUAGAAGCUACCGCCAAGCAAAACUCAAUCUAUCCUUUUUGAAAGACUUGCGCCAAGAAAAACGUAGCACAUAAAUAGCAACUCUAAUGCUAAACAUCUCAAAACAAUUAAAGAAAUGUGCACUCAAGCUAAUAAAUACACACCGAGUCCCAGACCCAGGUUAAAAUGCAGUUAUAUUAAUUAGCAGAACUAUUUCACACAGAUGACUCCAAAGUCAGCAUAUGUCAGCAUACACAAAUUAAGACCUUGAAUCUUGAAUGUACACUGUCACACUAGAAAUUCAGAGAUGACACCAUGUCAAACAAGUUAAUGCACAGUACACUAUCUAAUAUAAAAAGGACAGCCAUAGUCACAACAACAAUAGAUAAAAAGUUUAUGUGAACACAGAACUGAUAUGUGUUUAGCUAAGUUGUUCAACAAAUGCAGCAAGAAAAAUCCAGAAAAUGUAAGAACUUUGCAUUUCAGACUGUACAAUAUAGGCAAUACAAUCGUUUUGGACAAAAUCAUUUUUCAUAAUUAUACCACGAACAAAGGACACACAGAAUCAAAGAGUGCAUAAUCACAGCAAAGCUUAUAAAUGUAAAAAAAAACUGCCCUAACAACUGUGCAUAGAUAAUUGAUCUGCGGCACAUAGAUUCUUAUGAGCAACAGCAAGCAAAACUAGGAAUAUUAAUAGCUCAGUAACCUCAAAUACNNNNNNNNNNNNNNNNNNNNNNNNNNNNNNNNNNNNNNNNNNNNNNNNNNNNNNNNNNNNNNNNNNNNNNNNNNNNNNNNNNNNNNNNNNNNNNNNNNNNNNNNNNNNNNNNNNNNNNNNNNNNNNNNNNNNNNNNNNNNNNNNNNNNNNNNNNNNNNNNNNNNNNNNNNNNNNNNNNNNNNNNNNNNNNNNNNNNNNNNNNNNNNNNNNNNNNNNNNNNNNNNNNNNNNNNNNNNNNNNNNNNNNNNNNNNNNNNNNNNNNNNNNNNNNNNNNNNNACAAAUAUGAUGUCACGUUAGAUAACAACAAUCAUACAGAAAUGGUAAAGAUAAUACAUACUGAGCACAGAUCAACAAAGAGACAAACAUUGCAGUUGAGCCACUAUGUGAUAUCAAAUCUAUAUACACAGAGAACCACAAACACAACAUAAUGUCGUAAUCUUAUAUAUAUUUUCUGAAAGGAUAAGCUGUCAUUAAAACUGUACGGAAUUGUCCAUAACUAUGUUCAAAGUAACCCAUAACAUAUAACGUUUUGAAUAACCACACACCUGACCCUUCUUAGCUAUCAAUUUAUCAAUACAAAGGACCAGGAACAUACUUGAGAUGCCAACAACAGGGAACAAGAUAUCAGAUAAACAUAAAUUCACAACUCGUACAAAUGAAGAAAGAUAACAAAGUGAAGCUAAUACCUUACACUUAGUUAUUAGUUUAUAUCAAUACAAAGGACCAGGAACUUCCUUGAGAUGCCAAAUCAUUACGAGCAUCCACCUCUAGAGAUGUAUCUUAACUAAAAUAAAGGACGGCCCUUGUAAUUGUGAGAUUUAAAAUAAGAUACGUGCUAUCACACUUGAGCCACUGUGCACCAACAACUUUAACAUGACAUAAUGUCAUAAUCUUAUAUACUUUCUGAGAAAAGAAGCUAUAAGUAAAAAUUGAAGGACACAUCAGAGGGAAUGAUAACAACUGCCCAAAAUUAAUGCACAUCAAUAAGAAACGUGGUCUGAACAGACAAGGCACACAGCCCUGGAAAUAUAUUACCUGCAUGUGAGGGCUGCAACAGAUAAUCAACAACAAUUAUAUAUAAAAGUAGCUUCCUUCAGCAGAACAACUAAAUAAAAGGCAUGAUCCAAGAAACCUCACUUGGUUCAGCUGCACUCUAAAUUAAUUUUAUUGAACUAAGCUUUCUGGCAGAAACUCAACAACCUAAGGGACAUGGUGCAAUUCAGCAACCUUUUAAACGCAAACAAUUGCUUGCAUUGCCUAGAACCUUGUCAGGUUACCUGAUUCGAGUCUAACACCAGACAGCCUAACCCACAUCAGAUUGGUAGGCAAAGAAAAUCUCCUACCAAAGGCAUACUAGUCCAGAUGUUUUCGUGUGCAUCUACUAGUAAUCAUGAAUCAGCACAGAUGCACUCCAAAUCAAUUAUCAGGCAGACACGUCAAGGAUGUGGCAACCUAAACCACACCCCAAAGAACCCCCAACCGAGAUAUACCCACAGUUCCUUGAGAUCACUCGGAUCUGAACCCUAGUGGAGUGGGGAGAAAGAUCCCUCUCUGAACCCUAGGAGAGGGGGGAGGUUAGUAGGUACCUGGCCUUUCUUUGCUCCCGAGGAAGACCAUCCACCGCGUGCAGACGAACCCCCGUGAUUCUCGUUCAUCAGUCCCCACGACGGCCAGACCGCCUUAAGGUGAGCCAUCAGGGAGGAGGAGGAAGCGGGUGGAGCGCAGCGAUGGGGAUGAGUACGAGCGAGCGCUGGUCGAGCGAUUGGUGGAGGCGGAGGACUGAUUUGGGGAGAACGAUGCCACAGCCUGGUAAUGGGUCGGGGGGCUACAUAUCAUAGGCUCAUUGGGCUACUGGGCCAACGGAUGGCUUCUGAUGAUCUAGUAGAUGCUUUUAAUUAGCCCACCACAUUAGCUUUUAUUGAUAUAUGUCAUUUCAUUUCCCUUUUGAGUAUUAGGGGAGACCAAAUUUCUAAGGAGCGAAAUGUCCCAAAGAUACUCCAACUUAUCCUGUAAUCCAUUGGGAAGGCCCAGAUAGAUAAAUGUCACACUAUAACUAAGGGCAGCCCAUAAUAAGGUCUGCUGCAAUAUAAACCCACCUAAGAGCAUUUUCACAAUAAAAAUCAAAAUUUUGGGGAGUUGGGCCAAAAAAACCUGCUUCAACAAAGCCGAAUCCCCGAAAAAUUUAUAGGGAAGCCAGAAAAAUAAUCAUUCCCCAAUACGAGUCACAAUACUCGCACGUUAGAACGCCGCCUGCCCACAGCGCCGUCGCCCGCACACCACCACCAGUCCAAGACCCACAACGGGACGAGGCAACUAUUCACCAACCGGAUGAAUACGUGUUGUUGCUUAUGAGAAUGUGCUACUAUUAUGAUGUAUCGUUGUUUAUAAAUUAUGAUUACAUGUUGUUUAUAACUAUGUACUACUCAAGUUUUUUUUUCGAAAUGGAACUAUGUACUACUCAAGUUGAUGUGUUGUAAAUGUAGAUAAUUUUAACUCACCCAACCCGUUUACCCUGUUGGGCUCAAAAGGGGCUCUAAAGGGAAGUAUAAGGGUACGGGGUGACUUCACCCGUGCCCAAUACCCAAUGAGUACCAUCCCUACCCUCACAUUUUUUUUAUGUCUUUGCAGGGUUGCCUGGGUCAUCUACUUUUGCAAUGGAGAAGGAAUUCCAGCGGUGCUGCUCUGCUGCUAAAUGCUCCCUCCUUUUCUAAAUAUAAGUCUUUCUAGAGAUUUCACUAUGGACUACAUACGGAUAUAUAUAGACAUAGUUUAGAGUGUAGAUUCACUCAUUUUGCUCCUUAUGUAGUUUCUUAUUGGAAUCUCUAAAAAGACUUAUAUUUAGGAACGAAGGAAGUAGUGAACAAUAUAGUCACUCCCUCCAUAAACUAAUAUUUUUAGUGAUGUAAAACGUCUUAUUAGUUUAGAGGGAGUAUAUAUAUUGAAUCUACUGCGAGUAACAUGGCAAGGUGGAUGGGGUUAAGGAUUGGUACUAACAAGAUAAGUAAGUUUUUAGUUUAUCAAUACUCCCUCCGUCCGGAAAUACUUGUCAUCAAAAUGAAUAAAAGGGGAUGUAUCUAGAUGUAUUUUAGUUCUAGAUACAUCCUUUUUUGUCCAUUUUGAUGACAAGUUUUUUUCGGACGGAGGGAGUACAAAGGACCAGGACUUACUUGAGAUGCCAACUCCUUCAUCUUUUGAACAUCAUUACUUGAGCAUCCACACCAAACUGCUACUACAAUGAUUGAGACUCUUGCAUCCCUUUCCCUUCUGAUGCGUACAAGAGGUCCGCUCCACCCUUCUUAGAUUAAAGGUGGAGGGGUACUUCUGAAAAAGAAAAAGGAGACCUGUGGAACAAACAGGGUUCACAGGGCAAGAGCAUCAGUACUUUUGAAAAAAAAGAAUACACCAUUUACUGAUUAUAAUGAGAAAAAAUAUGAAAAAAGAAUAAAGAUUGAGGGGUACGGCCGUGGACCAUCGUUGUCAUCCACAACUAUGAAAAGCUGCCAUCCACAAGUACAUUUACAUGGUGGCAUAUGAACGUGGCAGUACAAACGACAAAAGGUAAAUGAGCUCAUAGUUUAUCAAUAGAAAGGAAGCAGGGCAUACCAAAUCCUUUGCACACUCCGACCUCGAACUGGCUACGAUUCUGCUUCAAGUCGUCCAUGUCCCUCCUGCGCCCGGUUGGAUUCGGCUCGUAGAACGCAAUGCGUCGGCCCGUAAUAACAAAGGACAAUUCUCUGCACACUUUCGACCUCGAAGUCUGCACACCUCGACCUCCAACUGGCGACGACUUUUCUUUCAAAAAAAAAAAAAAACUGGCCACGACUUUGCUUACAUCCACGGCGUCACGGGCAACCUGACACGCUGGAUGUGGUUAAAGAUUGGUAAAUACUCCAAGCUGAAUAGAUUAUUAGUUUAUCACCAAUGCAAAGGACCAGAAACUUACCUGAGAUGCCACUUCAGCUUCUGCACGUCACGAGCUGCUACGACAUGUUUGCUUCCGGUAGGCUCGUGUAAAAAAAUAGCUUCGCAGUGCACAGUACUGGCGCUAUCCACUGUUGUAUUUUAUUUGAUGGGACAACUGCAGAGGUGCGGCCGCAAGUGAACAAGGCGCAUCCAUUACGUGUUGACGUGGUACGGUGGGCGGGUUGAAGGAUUGGUGAAACCCGUCCAGAUGCGUUGCCAUAGGUAAAAUAAGCUCGCCGUUUAUCAAUCGCUCCGACCAGGGCAUACCAAAUCUUGUGCCUCUACACCACGAACUCGCUACUGCUUUGCUUAAAAUUCAUCCAUCCCCGUCAUGCGUCCGGCUCGACUCGUGCAACGCAUGCGUCAGUCCGUCUGUAACAAAGAAAAAUAGAGCUAGCAUCAGCAUCAACAAAUGAACUCUGAAUAAUUCAGAGUAAAAACUGUACGACUUAUACAAACCCUAGGUCGAAAAUCGUUUGCACAAAAACUGUACGACUUAUACAAACUGUAGUAAGGUCUAUCCAAACCCUAGGUUUAGGUCGAAAAUCGCUUGUAAAAACUGUUCAAUCCAUACAGACCUUAGGUUCUAAAUUAGGUCAAAAAUCGUCUGUAAAAACUGUGGAAUCUGUUAACAAAGUAUAUCUAACUACUAGUACACUAUUUCAUCAUUAAUCAAACAAUAAAAAUAAAAAUAAAAAAAUCUCACGAGUCUCCGUGUUAAAUCAAACAUCAAACUUGUAGGAGUUAGAUGAGACAUAGUUAUUUCUCAUCUAGACGAGAGCUAGACCGAAAACAAGCAUUUACAAACCCUUGAUUGUAGGUACUAGAAAACAAAAUCAAGAACAAUUGUAACUGUUCUAGGAUCCAUAAAAACUAGUCUAAGACGUCCACAAACCUCAUACUCCUAGGUUUAGGUCAAAAAUCGCUUGUAAAAACUGUUCGAACUAUACAGACCCUAGGUUCUAAAUUAGGUCGAAAAUCGUUUGUGCAAAAACUGUAGAAUCUGUUGACAAAGUCAAUCUAACUACUAGUACACUAUUUCAUUAAUCAAACUUAAAAAAAAUUCACGAGUCUCCGUGUUAAAUCAAACAUCAAACGCUGUAGGAGUUAGAUGAGACAUAGUUAUUUCUCAUCUAGACGAGAGCUAGACCAAAAACAAGGAUAUACAAACCGCAGAUUUGUAUGUGCUAGAAAACAAAUCAAGAACAAUUGUAGCUGUUCUUAGAUCCAUAGAAAACUAGUCUAAGACGCCCACAAACCUCAUACAGACCUUAGAAAAAAUAAACAAAAAAUCCUAAAUCGCCCUAGAAAACAAAUCCUAAACAUAUAGUAUGAAACUAGACUAAGACGCACACAAAUCUUAAACCAAAACAAGAUGUGUAAGCGGAACGCGGAGUACUUCCAAAGGCCUUGAAACCUCGAUUCAAAACCUUUGAAAAUACCCCACGAUCUGUAGGCAUCGUCGGCAAACCUUGAAGGAUCCGUAGACACGGGUCCAAAACUCAAAAGGAUUCAAGAAGAAAGAAAUCUAGAGGACUCGCAUAGGAUCCCAACAGCGAUUCAAAACCUUUGCAAAGACUCUAAUCGGAUCCUCGGAGAAACCCCGAGGAUCCGAAGACGUGGCCACGGAACUCCAGAGAUUUGCAAAGAUUGUCUCGAAUUCGUAUGGACGGAUUUUGGGAUGCAGAGGGUGGAGAGGGGAUUGGGAGGAGGGGCUGCGGCCGGAAGGGCAUCCCAAAGCGAGGGUUCUCUUCUCACCAAGGCGGCUUUGCCUCCUGUCCCCACACGGCUCCCCAGGCCGGGCGUCAGAUCUGGGCAAAGGUCACCCAUCAGCACACGCCUCUCCACGCCCAGCUGCUCAGACCAGGAUAAUCAAUGCGUUUGACGCGCCUUUCCAAAUCUGACGCACCGCCCACCCCACCCAGCCCCACCUCUGAUUUGUUUUUCUCUGGCCCGUGAAGGCUGGCCUGAUCCAUUAUUUACGGAAAUUUGACGCUACCUUUGCCGUAGGACGUCUCCCGCUUUGACAGACCCACCCAGAAAAUCGCGGGCCUUCAGUUUCCAGGUCGCAAACGCUUUUCCCAGCGGCGAGACUGAAUCCUACUACACGCUACGGGCGGACGGCCGGACCGGUUACAAAAAUAUGAAAAUGAAAAGAAAAAACUAUGAGCAUAUCGUUGUUUGGUCGUUCGUAUCCAAGCACAGGGGAACAGUUUUGACAUGCCAUUUGGGUUGGCUUGACUCGUGUAACUACACGGAGGUUUCACUGCAUACAGCAGGAAGGUCUGCUUACCUGCACUAUCUACAUCUUACCCGGUGAGCUUACCCGCUAUGUAGGUCACACUGAUCACAGCAAUAAAACUGCACGGCAAUCAUGAUGAACUGGACGAUGAAGAAGUUCUUUAGUCCAAACUAUCGAUCCCACUUGCAAGUUAAACACAGCAUGCCUACAUGAGCACUCGCCAUCCGUGAAAAAUGUACUCCCGGCUUUGUUAAAAAAUGUACGUCUCCUCAAUGAGUUCGGUGGACUUGUUAAGGACACGGUACGCAUGAGUGUUUGUAGCAUAAUCAACAAAUAUGCCCUCAUAAGCUCUAGCCUCAAAUUUAGACAAAUGAACACCUUAUUUGAGAAUGAAACACUUACACCCAAACACCCGGAAGUAUUUGAGAUUGGGCUUGUUACCGAUGAGUAUUUCAUAAGGAGUCUUGUUCAAGCCUUUGCGGAGAUAGAGCCGAUUGGAUGCAUGACAUGCUGUGUCGAUGGCUUCAGCCCAAAAGUUGUAUGGAGACUUGAACUCCGUCAUCAUGGUCCUUGCCGCAUCCAUCAACGUCCGGUUCUUCCUCUCCGCAACACCAUUUUGUUGAGGGGUAUAUGGAGCAGCAUAUUGAUGCUUGAUCCCCUCAUCACUAAGAAACUCAUUCAAGGUGUAGUUUUUGAACUCGGUGCCGUUGUCACUUCUUAUUGUCAAGAUAUUUGCAUCAUGUUGACGUUGAGCUUCAUUUGCAAAGUCGAUGACGGUUUGUUGAGUCUUACUCUUCCUCUUGAAGAAGAAUACCCAAGUGUACCUUGAAUAGUCAUUCACAAUCACCAAGCAAUACUUUCUACCCCCAAGACUAUCAAAGGAUGGAGGCCCAAAAAGAUCCAUGUGAAGGAGCUCCAAGGGUCUUUUCGAGUAGACGAUAGUCGUGGGGGGGUGAGCCUUUUCAUGAAGCUUCCCUUCGAUACAAGCACUGCAAGCACGAUCUUUGGCAAAACUAACAUUUGUUAGUCCACGGACAUGGUCCCCCUUAAGGAGACUUUGCAAAGAUCUCAUAUUGACGUGGGCUAAACGGCGAUGCCAAAGCCAUCCCACGUCAACUUUAGCCAUUAGGCAUGUCGCGGUCUUAGUGGGUUGCUCCGAAAAGUUAAUCACAUAAAGACCGUUCUCGACAUGCCCAACAAAGGCUAUUUUAAGAGUCUUGCUCCACAAGAGGGACACGGUAUCAACAUCAAAGAAAGUGGCAAAACCCAUGAGUGCAAGUUGACAAACGGAGAGAAGAUUGAAUGCAAGGGACUCAACAAGCAUGACUUUCUCGAUCGUAAGAUCAUGAGAAAUGACAACCUUGCCAAGACCCAAUACCUUAGAAGACGAGACAUCACCCCACUCGACAUUGAUGGGCAUAGAAGGAAUCUUGUGCACGUCCACCACCAAGUCCUUGCUUCUGGUCAUAUGAUUUGUUGCUUCACUAUCGAGCAACCAUGAUCCCCACCGGAAGCAAACACCUGCACGAGAUCAAUGCUUGGUUUUAGGUACCCAUUUUGUAAUGGGUCCUUUGAUUUUAGUAACAAGGGUCUUAGGAACCCAAAUAUACCAUUCAACGUACUCAUAAGAAGAACCAACAAAUUUAGCAUAAACAUGCCCAUCACUAGCACGGCACAACACAUAGGAAGGGUUAAAGUCGCCGGCUUUGUUGGAGGAGAUGGUUUUGCCCUUUUUGACAUCAACACCCUUCACAUUUUCCUUCUUCUCCUUAGGAGCACCCUCUCCCUCUUUUCACAAAAGUUUGCUUGAGAGGAGGAGGUCAUUUGGUCUUGUCGUUCUUCUUCUUGUUCUUGGACUUGGGUGCAAACUCAAUUCCCUUCUUGGCCACAACUUCCUUUUGAUUGCUCAAAAGGUCGUUGAGGUUCUUCUCACCUUGAAUGCAUGUCACAAGGCCUUUCUCAAGUUGAUCCUUCAACUUGGUAUUCUCCUCCACAAAAUGCACAUGCUCACAGCACGGUUUAGUAGCAUAUGCAUUAUCAAUUAAUACCAUAUGAGGAAAGGUGGCCUUUUCCUUGGUUAGCUUAACUUGGAGUUGAGCAUGAGACUCCUUGAGGUUAGCAUGAGUACCCUUCAGGGCCUUGUCAAGUACGUCAAACUCCUCCUUGAGUCUAGCAUGAUCAACCCCAAGUUUAGCCUUCUCGGAAGUUAGCACCCGAGACACCACAAGAGCAUGAUCGAGAUCUUUCUUUAACUUAGCAUGUUCAUCGUUUUGUGACUCCUCAAGAGCCAAACGAUGCCCACGCUCUUCCUCAAGAGCAUUAGAGAGAUCUGAUAUCUCAUCGCCAUAGUCAUGACUAUGACCUUCCAUCUUAGAGAUGGUUUCUUCGUGAGCCUCGAUCAUGUCAUUGGCUUCACCAAGUUGUUUCAAGAGAACAACAAAGUGCUUCUUGGAUUUGCCCUUGAGCUUACUCAUAAAGGACUCAAAUUCAUUCACAUCCUCAUUAGACCCCUCAUGUUCAUCAAUGCAACCCGCCAAAGAGGGAUUAGUAAUGAUGGUGGUUUUGAUGUUGGGAGUUACCUUGUUAGAGGCUUUGGCCAUGAGGCACUUGGUGGUGAUGUCCUCGUUGGGUGAAUCGAAGAGAGACAUCCAGGGAGUUGUGGCAAUGGCAACAGAUGCCAUGGCCACCGCUUCACUAUCUUCAUCAUCAUCGUCAUCCUCACGGUAUUCUUCUUGAACCACCAACCCUCGAGUAGGAGUCUUUUUGGUGAAGUUGUUCUUGUUGGGGAAUGACUUGGCUUUGUCUUUUCGGAUGAGCUUGCCACCAUUGUCUUCCCGCUUCUCGUACGGACAAUCCGCAACGAAAUGGCUCACAUUGCCACAGUUGUAACAAGUUCUUACUCGUUGCUUGCCCUUGAAGCCACUUGAGUUGGUGUUGUUGAAAUUGGGCCUUGAAUUCUUCUUGCUCCAAAAUUGUCUUGAAGCAAGAGCCAUGUGCUCAUGAUAAUCAUAUUUCGUAUCUUCGGGGUUGCUCUCCUCAUCCUCCUCUUCUUCCUCUUCUUCCAUAAUAACCUUGGCCUUCAAGGCAAGGUUGGGCUUCUUUGCCCUUUGAGAGCGGAGCACCGCAUUGUCGGCGGUCUUGUCCAAGAUGCUCAUUGCAACAAACUCAUCCAACACUUCACUUGAGGUCAUGGAGUGGAAGUCCGAUCUUUGACGAAUGACGGAGGACAUGGCCUUGUUGUAGGGCAUCAUGGCCUUGAGGAACUUGCGCUUGAUCCAAUUGGCAUCCGUGUCCUUGCUCCCAUGAUCUCAGAGUGAGACCGCGAGUUUGGUCACUCUUUGAAAGAUCUCACGAGGUUCUUCAUCUUCUUUCAUUGCAAACUCAUCGGCUUCAUCUUGCAACACUUCAUAGUUGGAGCGUUGAAUGCUAGCACUUCCCCGAUAGAGAGACACAACGCAUUGCCAUGCGUCUUUGGCCAUGGCAUGGGAUCGAAGAUGAGGGAGAUAUUCGGGAAGGAUUGCAUCUUGGAUGAUGAAGAGAGCAUUCUCAUUGAAUUGAUUAUCCACUGCUUCUCUCGGGGUGAAGUUGCUUCGGUCAUGUGGAUAGAAACCUUCUUUAAUGAUUCUCCAAAGAUUGGUAUUCACAUGAUUUAAAUGACGCUUGAAGCGAUACACCCAAGAAUCAAAAUCCUCAUUUUUCACAAUCUUAGGAGGAGGACCCGCAUGAUUUAAAUGAGUAGAGGGAAUCAGUCCUCCAUAAGUUGGAGGUUCCACAUGGGCAAAGAUGUCGGUGACAUUUCUACCACUAGUAGAAGGACCCUUCUCACUAUUAGCUUCCCCCUUGUCGGAGUUAGCACCCGUCACCUUGUUAGUGGGAUCACCCAUUUUCAACGGCGAGGUAGGUAGUUUAAGUCCUUCUAAGAAUUUAUUAAACAUGCUUUCAACCGUGGUUGUCAUGUAGGUUUUCAAUGUGUCCAAGGCCUCAUUGAAUUUCUCACGGGACACCGUGGUUUCCCCAUCACCCGUAGACAAGAUCGGAUUCACACCGGAGUGCUCCUUCUCCCCAUGGUCUACGGUGUCAACCAUACUCUUCGGACGACAAAGUCCUUAAUAAAGAGACGAGGCUAUGAUACCAAUUGAAAGGAUCGAUAUAGUUGACUAGAGGGGGGGUGAAUAAGCAACUAAUAAUUUUUAGCUUUUAUUUACCAAAUUAAACUUUGCAUCAAAGUAGGUUGUCUAGAUAUGCAACUAGGUGAACAACCCGUAUGAUGCAACAACAACAAGCGCACAAGCAAGCAAGGGAUGUAACACAAGUAAUGCUUGCAAAAGUAAAGGCGCGAGAUAACCAAGAGUGGAGUCGGUGGAGACGAGGAUGUGUUACCGAAGUUCCUUCAUUUUGAGGGGAAGUACGUCUCCGUUAGAGCGGUGUGGAGGCACAAUGCUCCCCAAGAAGCCACUAGGGCCACCGUAUUCUCCUCACGCCCUCACACAAUGCAAGAUGCCGUGAUUCCACUAUUGGUGCCCUUGAAGGCGGCGACCGAACCUUUACAAACAAGGUUGGGGCAAUCUCCACAACUUAAUUGGAGGCUCCCAAUGACACCACGAAGCUUCACCACAAUGGACUAUGGCUCCGAGGUGACCUCAACUGUCUAGGGUGCUCAAACACCCAAGAGUAACAAGAUCCGCUAGGGAUUAGUGGGGGAAAUCAAAUUUCUCUUGGUGGAAGUGUAGAUCGGGGCCUUCUCGACCAAUCCCGAGCAAAUCAAUAAGUUUGAUUGGCUAGGGAGAGAGAUCGGGCAAAAAUGGAGCUUGGAGCAACAAUGGAGCUUAGAGAUGGAAGAGGUAGUCAACUAGAGGUAGGAGACACCCCUUUUAUAGCUAUGGAUAAAAUCCAACCGUUAUCCACUUAUCCAGCCCGCGACAUGUGGUACUACCGCUCCAGAAACGCGGUACUACCGCAAGGCCACGCGGUACUACCGUGAGGGACCACGGUACUACCGCGGCAGCUGUAGAGACUAGAACAUGCCUGAUUGAGAGCAGUACUUCCGCGAGCGCGGUACUACCGCUCCCCCUUGCGGUACUACCGCAAGGCAGGAAAGUCCUAGCCAUGGAAUGGUGCGGAUGAAUUAAAGUACAUCUGUGCCUACUUCCACUGGAAAACAAAUGAUGCAACAAUCCGUCACGGUACUACCGCUGGGGAGCGGUACUACCGCAUGGCAACUGAAACAGGUCGUGCGCGGUACUACCGCGCAUGAAGUUCGGUACUAUCGCGGAGGCGCGGAUGUAAAAAAUUACAUCCGCCCCUACUACCGCGAGGCAGCGGCACUUGCCCUGGGAGCCACAGUACUACGACUCCAGAGGAGCGGUACUACAGUGGGCUCCCACGGUACUACCGCGCACGAUGUGCGGUACUACCGUGGAGGCGCGGAUGGAAAAAAUUACAUCCGCCCCUACUACCGCGAAGCAGCGGCACUUGGCCUGGGAGCCAUGGUACUAUGACUCCAGAGGAGCGGUACUACCGUGGGCUCCCACGGUACUACCGCGUAGUGGCUCGGUACUACCGCAGGUGCCUGCGGUACUACCUGUGACGCCCUCGAUUCAAUCGCACACUAAUCAUACACGCAAAUGUGUACGAUCAAGAUCAAGGACUCACGGGAAGAUAUCACAACACAACUCUAGACACAAAUUAAAAUAAUACAAGCUUUAUAUUACAAGCCAGGGGCCUCGAGGGCUCGAAUACAUAAGCUCGAAAACAAAAGAGUCAGCGGAAGCAACAAUAUCUGAGUACAGACAUAAGUUAGACAAGUUUGCCUUAAGAAGGCUAGCAUAAAAGCAACAUCGAUCGAAAAGGCAAAGCCUCCUGCCUAGGAGCCUCCUAACUACUCUUGGUCGUCGGCGUCCGUCACGUGGUAGUAGGCACCCUCGGGGUAGCAGCAGUCGUCAAAGGUGGCAUCUGGCUCCUGGACUCCACCAUCUGGUUGCAACAACCAGAAAGAAGAAAGAAGGGGGAAAAGGGGGGAGCAAAGCAACCGUGAGUACUCAUCCAAAGUACUCGCAAGCAAGGAUCUACACUACAUAUGCAACAUUAUCAAAGGAAGGCUGUAUAUGUGGACUGGGCUGCAGAAAUGCCAGAAUAGAGAGAAGGUCUAGUCCUAUCGAAGACUAGCAUCUUCUGGAAACCACCAUCUUGCAGUAACCGGAAGGAGUAGAGUAGCAUAAAGUAAAGUAGUAGUAGUGUUAUCAACCUCGGCCAGAGAUCCUUUCUCGACUCCCUGCGGGAAAGAAAUCCCAGAGCCAUACUAUCCAGUUAUCAUCACAAUCAAAUCCUCAUCACCAUCCAGUUCUCAUCACAAGUAUCCAGUUCUAGUUGUAUCGAUCGGGAUACAACUCCAAGUGUCCGUUACCGUAGGACAUGCUAUGCAUAGAUUAGUUCUUCCCUGCAGGGGUGCACCAACUUACCCACCACGCUCGAUUGACUCCGGCCGGACACACUUUCCUGGGUCAUGCCCGGCCUCGGCCAAACAAUACGCCGCAACCCGACCUAGGCUUAAUAGAGAGGUCAAGCACGCCGGACUAAACCUAUGCCCCCAGGGGUCAUGGGCCAUCUCCCCGGAAACUCCUGCACGUUGCGAACGCGGCCGGUGAGCAGACCUAGCUACCUCCCUAAAAAGGCAGGAGCUUACCAGUCCAACCCGGCGCGCGCCGCUCCGUCGCUGACGUCUAUUAAGCUUCGGCUGAUGCAUACGACGCAGAACGCCCAUACUAUGCCCACGUGAUGGUUAAUGCUAUCAGGCAGAGGCCCCUCGGAUCAAAUAUCCAAAUCGUAGUGGAUUAGGAACGCGCGGUAACAAGCAGAGACUCACGAAAGAUGUGACCCCGUUGCCCCGUCUCGAGGACUUGCGGCAAGGGCUAAGAAUGCCCGGCCACGCCUCGUAAUUAUCUCUCGGGCACCUUCCAGGUCAACCCGUCUCCACAUCACUUUCCAAGUAACAGUUGUAAAGUCCAAGUAUCCGUGUGUCCAAACAUCAAGAGGAAAACCCAAGGAAUCACCCUCGGUGGGUUCCACUCAAUGUAAUCAUCAAGGUGAACGUAGAGGAAUCACCCUCGAGGUUCACACUUGAGGGGUUGCACGACAGAGCUGUAUCGGAAGUGGUUAAGGAGGAAAUCACCCUUGAUGACCACGACCGAAUAGCUACACUACAGGUUAACAUCAGAAGUGCUGUAGAGGUCUCACCCUCGACACUCGAUAGUAACCCAACAGUGUCGAGCAACUAAGGGGAAAGUGAUGUGCGGUGCCGGGGCCUGGUCUUCAAUCCCGUUGAUCGGGUCUUCAAUGAUGAAGCAGGGGCAACAAGGACAAGGUGGGGUCACUGAUGGAUCACUAACCAACCUAUACUAAGCAGAUUAGGAUAAGCAGGUAAGGUACAACAGUAGAUACAAAAGCAGGCUAUGCAUCAAAAUAGGAGCAAACAAUAACAGUAGUAAAAUCUAAUGCAAGCAUGAGAGAAUGAAAUGGGCGAUAUCGGGAUGAUCAAAGGGGGGGCUUGCCUGGUUGCUCUGGCAAGGAGGGGUCGUCGUCGUCGUAGUCGAUCACAGGGGCAACAUCGGUCUUCGGGUCUACCGAAGAGAAGAGGGGGAAGAAACAGUAAAUAUAAAGCAAACAUAGCAUCACAAAGCAUAACGUGGAAGGCAAUAAGCUGUGCCGGGUGUAACAUAACGUAUGGCUACACGAUAUAGGUGAAGGGGGAAUUCAACCGGGAAUGUAUUCCCGGUUCCGGACCUGUGUCAGCCAGAUGACCGGAGGGGAAAGUACCAUGUUCAGAUAGUUAGAGGCAUCCGACCGGUAAACAGACCGCGUAUUCGGAUUCGUCUCGUCGUUCUAAGCAACUUCCAUGUACAAAGUAUUUUCAUCCGAGCUACGGUCUAUUUCCUAUGAUUUUUCGAAGUUUAAACAAUGUUAUGGAAUUUCCUGAAAAUUGGCUAAGUCUGAGAAUUGUUCAGUUUUUGAGCAUCACUUAGCUGUUUUCCAGAGGCUAUAGCUAGUGUUCUGUACAUCCUAUGAAUUAGUGCCUUUUACCAAAUUUUAUCAUCUUUAUGUGAUCUACAUGACAGUAUCAUUGACAUCCAUUUUAGAGUUGAGUUGCUUGAUCGAAAUUGUAUUUGAAAAGUGCCACUUAAAGUUAAUUCUAGAAACUGUUAAAAUAUACGAACAUAGGAUUUUGUGAUUUUCAUAGGAUUUAAUCGUUACAUAUUUAGAAUUUGGACCAAUGGGAUAAAACGGAGUUUGUCAAGUGUACUUACCUUGAGUAUUAUCUUUACCCACAUUAGAAGUCGUUUUGUUGUAGUUUUGCUGCAGUACAGAGGGGUAAUCAGUGUGAUUGUAACAAAGCUAGCUACUGCUACAGUAACAUUCAGUUACUGUAGCAGAGCAGCAGAGUGUGGCGUACGCACACACCACACACAUAGCCGCACUUGGCCAUGGCUAUGGCCGUCAGCGGCAGCAGCAACUAAGCAACAGCGGCGGCUAGCAUCAUCUACAAAACAGCGGCAGCAGCAACUAAGCAACAGCGGCGGCUAGCAUCAUCUACAAAACAGGAGCUGCGGCGAGCAUCGGCAGUAGCGGCGAGCAUCGGCAGUAGCGGCAGCUACAGCAGCAAGAAGCAAGCAACGAGUAGCAGUGCACGGGCAUGGGGACAAGGACGCGCAGGGGCGUGGCCAUGAGCGCGAGGGGAGGGGCGGUCAGCAGCGCCAGGCGUGGUGUCGCGCGCGUGGACGGCGAUGGCGGCCACGGCCAACGCGUCCAGGUGUGACGGAGGCACGGCAACGGGUGAGCGCGGGGCUGCACGGUGCAUCAGUCCAGGGCGCUGGCCUGGACGGGGUGGCCAAGAAUGACGACGACGUUGACGGCCGAGCGGCAACAGCGGUGGCGCUCGACGGGGUCGAGCUCGAGCCCUUGGGCUCGGAUUCGAUGAACCGAGAGACUAGGCGGCAUCUACACUGCUCCUGUAGCACGCACGCAUCGAAAGAGGGAGCUAGGGGACACGGCAGCGAUGAGCCCGCCGGCCGUGGUGGACGGCCGAGCCGGAACUCGCGAGGAUGAGUGCUAGGUGACGAGCUCGAUGGCGAGAACAGAGGGGAAACCAUGUGGUGCUCACAUCGGUGACGAGGAGCAACUUGGUGCAGUCGGAGCGGGUCGAACGGCGGCGGAUCGAAGCGACGAUGAGCGGUGGCCGGAGCUUGAAGGAGUUGAUGUAGGCGAUGCAGGGUUCCCGGCUUGAUUCAGUGGGCGAGGAAGACGUAGCAGACGACGACGGGGCUCCCAGACUCAGUCCCACGGCGCGGGGAGGACAGGGAGCGUGCGAACGAUAGUGGCCAUGGCGGGGAGCUUCGGGCGAUGCGCGUGGGAGAGGGAAACGGCGCGAGGAAGGGGGGAAUGGGGCUAGGUUUUUCAGGGGAGUGCGAGGCGAUGCUCUUAACCUCCAGGGAGGGCCGCGGGAUGGCCAGCGCGUGGCCGGUGGCCAUGGUGGAUGGCCUCCACGCCCUCUGCCUCCACUGUAGCGGAGAGGAGAGGUGGAACUGGGCUGGGCUAGGCACAGUAGCUAGUGGGCUCACGUGCACAGUAGUCGAUAGGCCUUUCCCUCUUUUUUUUUCCUAUUUUGCUUUUGUUUACAGUUUUGUAUUUUUGUUGAACUAAUAAAUGAGUAUAGUUAAAUGUGCCAUUUAGCACAUAAAUACUAGGCAAGGUUUUGAAGCAGAACACAAAGUUCCAAAUUAUUUUGAACUACUUAACUAUUUGUUUAAGUUGAAAAGGUUCAAAUAAAUACUAAUGAUUUAGUUUUAAAAUAGGUUACGACCACUGUAAAUAUUCAAAAGAGGUUGGCUCCUACAUGACAAAUAGUUAGGGAAUAUUUUCAACCCAUCGAACAUUUUCCCUAGCCAGUUUGAAGAAAUAAUAAUUUGACUUUUUUUUGGAAUUGAAUUUGAGGUCGGUUUAGGACAAAGUGAUGAUUAGCAAAUAUUUAAUUAUGAUGAUGUGGCACCAUUAAUAGGAGUUUACUGUAGCAUGUCACCUGGGGUGUUACAAAUCUCCUCUACUACAAGAAAUCUCGUCCCGAGAUUUUAGUGGGGAAGAGAAAAGUAACUUUGGGAGAAUUGACCCUUAUAGGUUUUUUUUUAUCUGGUGAACAAUUCAGGGAAAGUGGCAGAAGUAUCUCUCGAGUUGAAACUUAAGAAAACAUCGAGAGCAAAAUAAGAAGGUACAUGGGAAGUUUUAAUGGGCAGGCAAUCAUUCGAUGCCUAAUCAAAAGGUGAAAGGGGUUCAGAGCAACAACAACAAAAUUAUUGCGUCUGGUACUAGAAUAGAUCACUAGGAAGGUGGCUCAUGAAUUACAUACAAAGGCAAGUGAAAAAGGAUACUUUGAAAUCAAGGAUGUACAGGAGUCAGGUUUCGAUCCUGUGGAACUGUGGGUUAUGGGCCCACCAUGUGGUUCAAAAGUAGGAAGGACGCUGACAUAUUGCACGGUCAUGGUAGCAAGGCAUGUCAGAGGAUAGCCUGUCAGUUAUGUUGGCAACAACGUUGGUACCAACGGCGAGGGACGAAGAGAACCAUUUUCCUGAUCGUAAGACGAGGCGGACCAAUAGGCAAAGUUCUCGUCCAUCGGUGGUUACCGGAAUGUCACCAGCAAUAGUAACAGGGUCUUACUGAUAGAGUUAUACACCGAGGUGCUUACUUAAGCAUGGAUUUAUCUCUGCUCAGACAAGUUGGAUUACAAGAAAGGUAAAACAAAACAAUGGAAAGGAAAAUGUGUUUAAGCACAAAUAUCAGGAGCACAUUAAUCCCAAGGACAAGCAGAGGAUGAAAUCCAUGACAAGGUAGUAGAUUACCUUUUAGGUAAAGGGGGGGAGGAAAUUCAUGACGUUACCCAUACAACAGUGUUUGGAUAAGUGAUCAAGAAACAUUUAGCUUUGCGCCUCCAAAUGUUUUUAAAGAGGUUCGGAGUACCACAGUCAUGCUUUGGGAAAGCAUUGUCAUGGUCAUCAGGUAAAGGUCAGACCUUGGGAACACAAAGGGUCCAUCGGAAUUUUUAGAACAUAUCAUGCUAUUUUAUCAGGGAAAAGAUAAGGAGGUGGCCGAUGGGUUCAGUAACAAUCCAUCGACACGUCACAAAGGAUGUAUUCCCAAAAUUUAUAUGAACAAGUUUGUUGGGGGGGAGACAAGAAUGUUGUCGAUGAUAACACAAAUCAUCGAGGGGUGAGGAUGGCAUUUCUCAUCAUGAAUUCGAUUGAUAUCCUGAAACAGGUCAGUAUAUUGAUGGGGAUCACGACAGAUUUUGUCAAGGUACUAUGAAGAGGCCAUCGAACAACGACAACAUCAAGCAAAAGGAAUGAUGAAGCGAAAGGCUAUUGGAACCACGGAUGCGACACAAGCUCGAAAUCAAGCUUGUUGUUUGAGGUGAAAUGACAAGAUGAGGAAGAUCGACGUAAGCUUCGCUCAUCGUCGAAAAGUUGUGCUCCAAGAAUAAGGACCAGGUAGCACAGUUAAAAUUAGCACGAUAAUGAUAUAUCCGAUCAGGCUAGGAAUGAUGUGACGGAGUAUCACUCCAAUUAAGAAUUUACAAGAGGUAGUGCAAUGACACAAUAUCCUCGAGAUAACAUGAGGCAAUACUUGAAGGUAGAUCAAAUUGGAGGUGGACAGAUGAAAUGACUUGCAGGAGACAAGUAUUUUAACUUGUCCGGGAAAUGGAAUUAAGGAGAAACUAUGGUCGGAACCAUGAUUAUGAAUGAUCAAACCAUCGAUACAAGAUGAACUUAUAACAAGGGGUAAAUAUUUUUACGAGCAGCUUCCGUGAUAAGUUCUACAUCGGGUCCAUGGGCAUGAACACAAAGUUCAAGGUUGACUCCCACUUCUUCAAUGCAUAACCUUUCAUUCACUCCUCGUUUUUCGAAGAAAUUGUAGUGCAGAGGAUUUAUCUGGCGAAGUACCGGAAGAGUAAGACUCGGGAGAACUCUCGGGUUCACACAGAUUAUGGAAGGCAUAAGUUCAAACCAUCGGGGCAUUUUUACGAAUCUAUACAACAAAAAACCAAGCAAAAGAUACGAGUUCAAAAGUAGAGUAUCGGAGUCAAAGCAGAUGAUACAAUUUACCGAAGGUAUUAUGUAUCAGGGAAAAACUCACAAGACUUUGGAUGUGAAGAACAUUGUCGGAUAACAACCCAGCAAUGGAUCUGGCGAUUCACGACAGAGUUGAUGUGAGUAUCGGUAAUCAAUCAGAUGAAGAAGGGGAUGUAAAGGCAUCAGCUUAUAGAAAUGUCUGAAUGAUUCGAUGCUUGGGUACAAAGGAAUUAUGUUUUCAAGACGAAGGAUCAGAAGCAGAGGCUCUGAACAAAAGAUGAGUAAGUCGAAUAGACUUAGAGGUGUACCCGAUCAAAUCUAGAUUGGGCAAGAACCAGCUCAUAUCUCGAAGGAUGUCUGAGCCGGAAAGAAAAUUUCCAAGGAUUGAUUGAUGAUUGCGAGUAUUCGCACACACGCUGAAUCCAUAGGAACAAAAUGACAAUCACAAAGAAUUUUAAAGAAUAUUGCUAGACAUAUGGAAUUAAUCCUAAUGCAAGCAAGAAAGGAGAAUCAAGAGCAAUAGGUUGCAAAGGAUUUUGAAAGAUCAGAUAGCCUUUUCAGGUAUUAGGAAAGCAAAUGAACAACUAGGGAUGAACGAACCCCGGUUAAGUGAAUUAUCCGCAGUCCGAAAAGAAGCUGCAAAGCACAAGGCCACAAAGGAUUCUCGGAACAACGGAGAGUACUAGUGGUAUCUCGUAAUAACAGGAGCAACUAGGGAUAAAGGUACAAGCGGCAAGGAUGUUAUUCAGGGGGAUUAUCAGUGGUCAAGAACUGCAAGGCAGUUGGCACAGGGUCUCGAGAAACAUCGAGGAGUAUCCGCAGAAUCUUCUCGCGAAGCAAGCAAUCAUCGAUAAUGUUGGGGCUCUCCGGGAGGAAGUGGGUAUGAGAACCUAAUGUCAGAGUUAGUAAAAUGUUUAACCCGAAUAGACGAGAGAUCAGAGUCCCAGAGUAUAGACGAGGAAUAAAAGAUCCUAAUACCACCCAAUGGCGAAGUGGGCCCGUAAGACACACAGCCAAUGUUAGUAAAAGUUUUUUUUAGUGACUAGACUCAACUUCGGCCAAGGAGUUGGAAAGGGAGAUACCUACAGGCAGUCGGCUCUGAUACCAACUUGUGACGCCCUCGAUUCAAUCGCACACUAAUCAUACACACAAAUGUGUACGAUCAAGAUCAAGGACUCACGGGAAGAUAUCACAACACAACUCUAGACACAAAUUAAAAUAAUACAAGCUUUAUAUUACAAGCCAGGGGCCUCGAGGGCUCGAAUACAUAAGCUCGAAAACAAAAGAGUCAGCGGAAGCAACAAUAUCUGAGUACAGACAUAAGUUAGACAAGUUUGCCUUAAGAAGGCUAGCAUAAAAGCAACAUCGAUCGAAAAGGCAAAGCCUCCUGCCUAGGAGCCUCCUAACUACUCUUGGUCGUCGGCGUCCGUCACGUGGUAGUAGGCACCCUCGGGAUAGCAGCAGUCGUCAAAGGUGGCAUCUGGCUCCUGGACUCCACCAUCUGGUUGCAACAACCAGAAAGAAGAAAGAAGGGGGAAAAGGGGGGAGCAAAGCAACCGUGAGUACUCAUCCAAAGUACUCGCAAGCAAGGAUCUACACUACAUAUACAACAUUAUCAAAGGAAGGCUGUAUAUGUGGACUGGGCUGCAGAAAUGCCAGAAUAGAGAGAAGGUCUAGUCCUAUCAAAGACUAGCAUCUUCUGGAAACCACCAUCUUGCAGUAACCGGAAGGAGUAGAGUAGCAUAAAGUAAAGUAGUAGUAGUGUUAUCAACCUCGGCCAGAGAUCCUUUCUCGACUCCCUGCGGGAAAGAAAUCCCAGAGCCAUACUAUCCAGUUAUCAUCACAAUCAAAUCCUCAUCACCAUCCAGUUCUCAUCACAAGUAUCCAGUUCUAGUUGUAUCGAUCGGGAUACAACUCCAAGUGUCUGUUACCGUAGGACAGGCUAUGCAUAGAUUAGUUCUUCCCUGCAGUGGUGCACCAACUUACCCACCACGCUCGAUUGACUCCGGCCGGACACACUUUCCUGGGUCAUGCCCGGCCUCGGCCAAACAAUACGCCGCAACCCGACCUAGGCUUAAUAGAGAGGUCAAGCACGCCGGACUAAACCUAUGCCCCCAGGGGUCAUGGGCCAUCUCCCCGGAAACUCCUGCACGUUGCGAACGCGGCCGGUGAGCAGACCUAGCUACCUCCCUAAAAAGGCAGGAGCUUACCAGUCCAACCCGGCGCGCGCCGCUCCGUCGUUGACGUCUAUUAAGCUUCGGCUGAUGCAUACGACGCAGAACGCCCAUACUAUGCCCACGUGAUGGUUAGUGCUAUCAGGCCAGAGGCCCCUCGGAUCAAAUAUCCAAAUCGUAGUGGAUUAGGAACGCGCGGUAACAAGCAGAGACUCACGAAAGAUGUGACCCCGUUGCCCCAUCUCGAGGACUUGCGGCAAGGGCUAAGAAUGCCCGGCCACGCCUCGUAAUUAUCUCUCGGGCACCUUCCAGGUCAACCCGUCUCCACAUCACUUUCCAAGUAACAGUUGUAAAGUCCAAGUAUCCGUGUGUCCAAACAUCAAGAGGAAAACCCAAGGAAUCACCCUCGGUGGGUUCCACUCAAUGUAAUCAUCAAGGUGAACGUAGAGGAAUCACCCUCGAGGUUCACACUUGAGGGGUUGCACGACAGAGCUGUAUCGGAAGUGGUUAAGGAGGAAAUCACCCUUGAUGACCACGACCGAAUAGCUACACUACAGGUUAACAUCAGAAGUGCUGUAGAGGUCUCACCCUCGACACUCGAUAGUAACCCAACAGUGUCGAGCAACUAAGGGGAAAGUGAUGUGCGGUGCCGGGGCCUGGUCUUCAAUCCCGUUGAUCGGGUCUUCAAUGAUGAAGCAGGGGCAACAAGGACAAGGUGGGGUCACUGAUGGAUCACUAACCAACCUAUACUAAGCAGAUUAGGAUAAGCAGGUAAGGUACAACAGUAGAUACAAAAGCAGGCUAUGCAUCAAAAUAGGAGCAAACAAUAACAGUAGUAAAAUCUAAUGCAAGCAUGAGAGAAUGGAAUGGGCGAUAUCGGGAUGAUCAAAGGGGGGGCUUGCCUGGUUGCUCUGGCAAGGAGGGGUCGUCGUCGUCGUAGUCGAUCACAGGGGCAACAUCGGUCUUCGGGUCUACCGAAGAGAAGAGGGGGAAGAAACAGUAAAUAUAAAGCAAACAUAGCAUCACAAAGCAUAACGUGGAAGGCAAUAAGCUGUGCCGGGUGUAACCUAACGUAUGGCUACACGAUAUAGGUGAAGGGGGAAUUCAACCAGGAAUGUAUUCCCGGUUCCGGACCUGUGUCAGCCAGAUGACCGGAGGGGAAAGUACCAUGUUCAAAUAGUUAGAGGCAUCCGACCGGUAAACAGACCGCGUAUUCGGAUUCGUCUCGUCGUUCUGAGCAACUUUCAUGUACAAAGUAUUUUCAUCCGAGCUACGGUCUAUUUCCUAUGAUUUUUCGAAGUUUAAACAAUGUUAUGGAAUUUCCUGAAAAUUGGCUAAGUCUGAGAAUUGUUCAGUUUUUUAGCAUCACUUAGCUGUUUUCCAGAGGCUAUAGCUAGUGUUCUGUACAUCCUAUGAAUUAGUGCCUUUUACCAAAUUUUAUCAUCUUUAUGUGAUCUACAUGACAGUAUCAUUGACAUCCAUUUUAGAGUUGAGUUGCUUGAUCGAAAUUGUAUUUGAAAAGUGCCACUUAAAGUUAAUUCUAGAAACUGUUAAAAUAUACGAACAUAGGAUUUUGUGAUUUUCAUAGGAUUUAAUCGUUACAUAUUUAGAAUUUGGACCAAUGGGAUAAAACGGAGUUUGUCAAGUGUACUUACUGCGAGUAUUAUCUUUACCCACAUUAGAAGUCGUUUUGUUGUAGUUUUGCUGCAGUACAGAGGGGUAAUCAGUGUGAUUGUAACAAAGCUAGCUACUGCUACAGUAACAUUCAGUUACUGUAGCAGAGCAGCAGAGUGUGGCGUACGCACACACCACACACAUAGCCGCACUUGGCCAUGGCUAUGGCCGUCAGCGGCAGCAGCAACUAAGCAACAGCGGCGGCUAGCAUCAUCUACAAAACAGCGGCAGCAGCAACUAAGCAACAGCGGCGGCUAGCAUCAUCUACAAAACAGGAGCUGCGGCGAGCAUCGGCAGUAGCGGCGAGCAUCGGCAGUAGCGGUAGCUACAGCAGCAAGAAGCAAGCAACGAGCAGCAGUGCACGGGCAUGGGGACAAGGACGCGCAGGGGCGUGGCCAUGAGCGCGAGGGGAGGGGCGGUCAGCAGCGCCAGGCGCGGUGUCGCGCGCGUGGACGGCGAUGGCGGCCACGGCCAACGCGUCCAGGUGUGACGGAGGCACGACAACGGGUGAGCGCGGGGCUGCACGGUGCAUCAGUCCAGGGCGCUGGCCUGGACGGGGUGGCCAAGAAUGACGACGACGUUGACGGCCGAGCGGCAACAGCGGUGGCGCUCGACGGGGUCGAGCUCGAGCCCUUGGGCUCGGAUUCGAUGAACCGAGAGACUAGGCGGCAUCUACACUGCUCCUGUAGCACGCACGCAUCGAAAGAGGGAGCUAGGGGACACGGCAGCGAUGAGCCCGCCGGCCGUGGUGGACGGCCGAGCCGGAACUCGCGAGGAUGAGUGCUAGGUGACGAGCUCGAUGGCGAGAACAGAGGGGAAACCAUGUGGUGCUCACAUCGGUGACGAGGAGCAACUUGGUGCAGUCGGAGCGGGUCGAACGGCGGCGGAUCGAAGCGACGAUGAGCGGUGGCCGGAGCUUGAAGGAGUUGAUGUAGGCGAUGCAGGGUUCCCGGCUUGAUUCAGUGGGCGAGGAAGACGUAGCAGACGACGGCGGGGCUCCCAGACUCAGUCCCACGGCGCGGGGAGGACAGGGAGCGUGCGAACGAUAGUGGCCAUGGCGGGGAGCUUCGGGCGAUGCGCGUGGGAGAGGGAAACGGCGCGAGGAAGGGGGGAAUGGGGCUAGGUUUUUCAGGGGAGUGCGAGGCGAUGCUCUUAACCUCCAGGGAGGGCCGCGGGAUGGCCAGCGCGUGGCCGGUGGCCAUGGUGGAUGGCCUCCACGCCCUCUGCCUCCACUGUAGCGGAGAGGAGAGGUGGAACUGGGCUGGGCUAGGCACAGUAGCUAGUGGGCUCACGUGCACAGUAGUCGAUAGGCCUUUCCCUCUUUUUUUUUCCUAUUUUGCUUUUGUUUACAGUUUUGUAUUUUUGUUGAACUAAUAAAUGAGUAUAGUUAAAUGUGCCAUUUAGCACAUAAAUACUAGGCAAGGUUUUGAAGCAGAACACAAAGUUCCAAAUUAUUUUGAACUACUUAACUAUUUGUUUAAGUUGAAAAGGUUCAAAUAAAUACUAAUGAUUUAGUUUUAAAAUAGGUUACGACCACUGUAAAUAUUCAAAAGAGGUUGGCUCCUACAUGACAAAUAGUUAGGGAAUAUUUUCAACCCAUCGAACAUUUUCCCUAGCCAGUUUGAAGAAAUAAUAAUUUGACUUGUUUUUGGAAUUGAAUUUGAGGUCGGUUUAGGACAAAGUGAUGAUUAGCAAAUAUUUAAUUAUGAUGAUGUGGCACCAUUAAUAGGAGUUUACUGUAGCAUGUCACCCGGGGUGUUACACUACCGCUCCAGGGAGCAGUACUACCGCAAGCUCAGCAACAGCAACCAGGACAAUCGCAUAGAGGAUAAAUGGGGGAUGCUCCGAAGUGCAAGGGAAAGGUGGAGACAAGGAAGGGAAUGUGUAUGUGAUGAUUCCACCCGAACCUUUCCGAUGCGGACCCCCUCUUAAUAGAACGGCCCUCCUACGACUCAAAUCCACCAAAAAGAAACGUAGAAAAACGCCGUCUUCAAUAGUCUUCGAGGGGCACCGAACCGUCUUGUGCCUAGCGAUGAAGCGUCUGAGAAACUCAAGGCACACGAUUAGUCCGCAAAAGCAUUGUCAUCAAUCACCAAAACACCUUAGGGAUAAAUAUGCCCUUACAAUCUCCCCCCUUUUUGGUGGAUUGAUGACAAUACGAGAUUUGCACAAAGGUAAAUAAUAUUGAGCAGAGGCAAACCCCUCCUCUCUAAAAUAUAGACGGGCUCCCCCUAGAUGUGUGCAAUCUAGAUGGAUACUUUGGACUGCACAUCACACAAACUAAGAUCAACACUCCCCCUAUAUUUUAGAGACAAGGCAUGAUCUUGCAAGGGUAACACUAACAUCUAAGCAAGAGCAUAAAACAAAGGUAGCACAAUAUAUGACAAGCUCACUAAGAUAGGUAGAGUGCAUAUGUCUUACACCAAAUGAAGGAAAGCAACCCAAAGCAACUGAAACGAGGUUCAAACGAGAGAGUAAACACACCGAACACGACACACGACUCGCAAAUCCCUACACUCUCUCCCCCUUUGGCAUCGAGACGCCAAAAAGGCAGAGAGGACACCUACACACAAGGGGUGGCUCAAGCAGAGAAAUCAUCCUGAUGCUCCUCGUCAGACUCGGCGGCAGGAAUGGUCUCCUCGACGUCCUCCUCAGAAUCAGUCCACUUGUAGCCUUGUUUCACCAUCCACUCAGCCUUUGGAGUGAUGCGAUCCUCAGAACCACCAGACACGUCCUCUCCAUACAGCCUCAUGAUCUUCUUGUCCCGGCGGUGACUCUCCUUGGAUGCCACGUGAGUCCUGUACUGCCCCUUAGCUUGCAUGCAGAAAAGAGUCUUCAUCUUGUCCUUCAGCUUCUUGGCCCAUGAGGGCUCAGAGGAACUAUGGGAAGACCUAGCAGCAUGAUCCUCAGCAACAUCAUCUGCUCCAGCCUCCUCCUCAUCAACAGCCCUCCUAGCAGCAGACCCCUCAGCACGAGUAGUAGUGUUGGCCUAGUUGGGCUUGACACGGAGACUGAUGGGAUCAUGCCGAAUCUAGUCUGGAGCAAGGAACUCAUCACCAGGGUACAACUUCUCCCAAGUCUUGGAGAUCAACAGAAACAUGUAUGGUCCAUAGAUAGGCACCUUGCAGUUGAACACCGCAAAUCGAAGCUCACACCACAUGAUGUGUGAGACAUCAAGUGGCUGAGUCUGAGACACACGUGCCUCCUCGCACAGGAGCAUCAUAUCCACCAUAUAGGCAUGAACCUUGUCCUUGUCGCCAAUGCGAGGGAACAAAGAGUUGCGGAAGAUGCGAUACAUGAUAUCCAGAAAAGAGUUGAGCACCCACGACGACUUGCCAUUGGGAAGCACCUUCUCAACAUAGAACGACUGAAUCUUGUCCUUGUUAGCAGACUCAGAAUUGGCAUGGGGGCGAACACCAUGGGUGUGUCGAGCCCGUCAUCAGGAACCUGGAGCAGAUCCAUGAACUCCUUCCAGGUAGCAGUCAACUGACGGCCAUUGGUCAUCCAGGUCAUCCUCCGCUCCUCCCCAGAGUGAAAGAAAACUGAGGCAAAGAACUGACAAAUAAUCUCAGGGUCAUAGUCAAGGUGGAAAGAAAUCACAUGUUCAAUACCAAACUGCUCCACCAAAUCCAGAGCUUCUCCAAAGUACUCAUGAAACUUGUCCUUCCUCAGGUGAUGCAUGUCUAUCCACUUGACAUCCACGUAGGUAUUUUGCUUGUUCUUGAUGACAUCCAGAUAAGUGAGAGUCUGCUGCUUGGACCAAAACAAUUCACUGCCUCUGAUGGUAGCAUGAGGAUUCACAUACGGGUUGAUCUGCCUGAGACGAAUGUACUUAGAAGGGGGAAUCUCGUCCAUGCCCUUAGCGGGUUCCUUGUGCUUGCUAGCGGAGGUCUUGACAGAGCGCUUGGGGGCAGUGGAGCCCUCUGGUGCUUCACUUGGAUUGCGCAGACGCUCGGAGCCAGUGUCAUGACUGGGAUUGGAACGGCGAGAGCCACCACCUGAGACACAAAGCGCAAAACACCCACGACAAGCAAAAAGGAUCAAUGCAAAGACCACGGCAAAGCAAAAGAAACACAUAGAAAGCAUAUGUGGUAAUUGCCAUGAGAGAGAUUGGACCCAACAGUAGUACUGCCUGGUACCGUGGUACUAAAAUUUUAGUACCGCUCCUAGUCGUGGUAGUACCAUGUGAAGUCACGGUAGUACCGGGGCUGGGAGCGGUAGUAAGAUCCUAGUGCCACAGCUCGUGCGGUAGUACCGCACCGGACGAGCGAUAGUACCGCACAUGUGGCGCGGUAGUACCGCACCGUCUCAGAUCCGAACCAGAAUUUGAAUCUAAGAGGAACCGCGAAACCACGGCGGUACUACGGUUGAUCAAAUCUAUCACAGGACAACAUAUCAAGUAUAAUCCCUACGCAAUACUACUCUCCUACAUCCUACUCUUGCAUAGAUUUAGCCUAAAAUCUCAAGAACACAUGUAUCUCCCCAAAAACCUAGAGGCAAAGAAAACAACCAAAAAGAAAGGAUUUGGGGAAGGACCUUGUUCCAUGUCAAGAGCACGUGGUGGGGAACAAUCCCCCCGGACGGAAUCGCAGGAGAGCAGCCGGAGGCGGAGAUCCGGUGAUGGACUCCUGCCCCGUUCUUGAGCGAGAGAGACAGACGAAGUGGGGAAAACAGAUGAAUGGGUGUGGGGGAGUUAGAACUCCCCCUGCCCGUCCUUAUCCCCACGCGUCUACGACAGCGCGGUAGUACCGCACAUCAUCACGAUAGUACCGCUUGGGCUGAAGUACCGCACCAAAGCGGUAGUACCGCUCUCCCAGGCGGCAGUAAAAAAUUACUGCCGCGUGGGGGCGGUAGUACCGUGCUCUCCACACGCGGUAGUACUGUAGCAGGCUGCGGUAGUACCGUGAGCUCAAGAAAAACAGGUUUCAAACACACGAAAAAGAGGUCUUCGCAAGGAAACUUUGAGCACAAGAGACACCACAAGAACACGCUCAACACAAAGGCAGAAAGGCAAACGUCAACAAGAAGCAACCACGCGACACUACCUCUCAAAAGAGAGGGCGGUGGCCGGAGCCACCUAUGUUUGAGUCAGUUGGUAUGGCACCUCGAAGAAUUAUCCUUGGGCCCAUGACCAAAACUCGUCUUUGAAGCACAAGUACCAUCAAAAAUGGCUAAUGUGAAAGAGUUGAUCGAUUUAUGCAUAAUGGAGGGAGGGAGAGUUCAUUGAGAGAACGACACUCCCCCUAUGUCCAUGCCUACACCUAAACUAGACAACAAGUUGAGUGUGGUGGGAGGUGCAAGGGUUCAAGUCACAUUGCUCGAAUUUAUGAUAUUUAGCUCAUGCCUUAACUCGCGAAAUCUUGCUUCAUCCAAGGGCUUCGUCAAAAUAUCUGCAAGGUUAUCAUGAGUGUUGACAUACUUGAGCUCGAUCUCCCCUCGCCUAAUGUGAUCUCGGAUGAAGUGAUACCGAAUCUCAAUAUGCUUCAUCUUGAAAUGUUGCACCGGGUUGAGAGAAAUCUUGAUGGCACUUUCAUUAUCACAACAAAGAUGCACUUUGUCACAAAUGACACCGUACUCCUUUAAAGUUUGCCUCAUCAAUAAGAGUUGUGCACAACAACUACCGGCCGCCACAUAUUCCCCUUCGGUGGACGAGAGAGACACACAACUUUGCUUCUUGGAAGACCAACUCACCAAAGAGCAACCAAGGAAUUGGCACCCUCCGGAAGUGGACUUCCUAUCCACUUUGUCUCCCGCCCAAUCGGAAUCCGUAUAUCCUUCAAGCUUGAAGUUUGCUCCUCUUGGGUACCAUAAGCCAAAGUUUGGGGUAUGAGCCAAAUAUCAAAAGAUUCGCUUGACCGCCACAUAGUGGCUUUCCUUCAGUGCGGCUUGAAAUCGUGCAUGUAUUCCCACACUCAACAUGAUAUCCGGUUUAGAUGCACAAAGGUAAAGCAAGGAGCCAAUCAUGGAGCGAUAUACCUUUUGAUCCACCGCCUUACCAUUAGGAUCAAUGUCAAGUUGGCACUUGGUAGGCAUUGGAGUAGGAGCCGGCUUGACAUCACUUAGCUUGAAUCUUUUUAGCAUGUCUUGAGUGUAUUUGGCUUGGUUGAUGAAGGUACCUUCUCUUCUUUGUUUGAUAUCAAAACCAAGGAAGAACUUCAACUCUCCCAUCGAAGACAUCUUGAACUUGGAGGUCAUGAGAGCGGCAAAUUCCUCAUUUAAAGCUUUGUUAGGGGAACCAAAGAUAAUAUCAUCAACAUAUAGUUGUCAUACAAACAACUCCCCUUUGACCUUCUUAGUAAAAAGAGUGGGAUCGAUUUGCCCGACCUCAAAUCCACGAUCUUGUAACAACUCGGUAAGGUGGUCAUACCACGCACGUGGGGCUUGUUUAAGGCCAUAGAGUGCCUUAUUGAGUUGAUACACAUGAUCCGGGAAGUAGGGAUCCUCGAACCCGGGGGGGUGCUUGACAUAAACCAACUCAUUAAUAGGACCAUUAAGAAAAGCACUUUUCACAUCCAUUUGUUGUAACUUAAAGUUGUGAUGGGAAGCAUAAGCAACAACAAACGAAUGGAUUCAAGGCGAGCAACAGGAGCAAAGGUUUCACCGUAGUCGAUACCCUCGACUUGGGAGUAGCCUUGUGCUACCAAUCUUGCCUUGUUGCGAAUGAUGUUCCCAUGAGCAUCUUGCUUGUUCUUGAAAAUCCACUUGGUUCCAAUGACGUUGUGGUUCCCCGACGGCCUUGGCACCAAUCUCCACACCUUGUUGUACUCGAAGUUGUUGAGUUCUUCAUGCAUGGCAUUGAGCCAAUCCGGAUCUUCGAGCGUCUCAUAGACCUUUUGGGGUUCAACACAAGAGACAAACGUGUGAUGUUCACAAUAGUUUGCUAAUUGUCUACGAGUGCUUACCCCCUUUCUUAGGCUUCCAACCACAUUCUCCAUGAGAUGACCUUUGGUGGUGAUCUUGGAAGCAAUCUUCGUGGCACGACGCUCUAAUUCCUCCUCGGAUGUGGAAGGAGGAGGGUUAACUUGAUUAUCUUGAGCGCCGUCUUGAGCUUGUUCUUGAUCUUGAACUUGCUCGAGGGGAAGAACUUGACCUUGGGCAUCAUUUGGUGGUUCACCACCAUCUUGAGGUUGAUCUUGCCCUUGGUCUUGUUCACGAGGUUGAGGGCCUUCACUUUGUUCUUCGGAAGCAUGUGGGUCUUGGGGAGGUGAUGGCUCCACUUGAGUGGAGCAUUGUCCUUCUCCUUCGGCCACAAGGGGUUCCUUAAUGGGUAGAAUAUGACCAAUACCCAUUCUUCUUAUGGCUUGGGGAGGAAUUUCAUCACCUACAUCACAAGUACCACUUUGAUCCACUUGGGAGCCGUUAUUUUUGUCAAACUCCACGUUACACGUCUCCUCAAUGAGUCCGGUGGACUUGUUGAGGACAUGGUACGCAUGAGAGUUUGUAGCAUAACCAACAAAUAUGCCCUUAUAAGAUCUAGCUUCAAAUUUAGACAAACAAACACCUUUCUUGAGAAUGAAACACUUACACCUGAACACCGAAAGUACUUGAGAUUGGGCUUGUUACUGGUGAGUAUUUCAUAAGGAGUCUUGUUCAAGCCUUUGCGGAGAUAGAGUCGAUUGGAUGCAUGACAUGCUGUGUUGAUGGCUUCAACCCAAAAGUUGUAUGGAGACUUGAACUCCGCCGUCAUGGUCCUUGCCACAUACAUCAACGUCCGGUUCUUCCUCUCCACGACACCAUUUUGUUGAGGGGUAUAUGGAGCAGCAUAUUGAUGCUUGAUCCCCUCAUCACUAAGAAACUCAUCCAAGGUGUAGUUCUUGAACUCGGUGCCAUUGUCACUUCUUAUUGUCAAGAUCUUUGCAUCAUGUUGACGUUGAGCUUCAUUUGCAAAGUCGAUGAUGGUUUGUUGAGUCUCACUCUUCCUCUUGAAGAAGAAUACCCAAGUGUACCUUGAAUAAUCAUCCACAAUCACCAAGCAAUACUUUCUACCCCCAAGACUAUCAAAGGAUGGAGGCCCAAAAAGAUCCAUGUGAAGGAGCUCCAAGGGUCUUUUCGAGUAGAUGAUAGUCGGGGGGGUGAGCCUUUUCAUGAAGCUUCCCUUUGAUACAAGCACUGCAAGCACGAUCUUUGGCAAAACUAACAUUUGUUAGUCCACGGACAUGGUCCCCCUUAAGGAGACUUUGCAAAGAUCUCAUAUUGACGUGGGCUAAACGGCGAUGCCAAAGCCAUCCCACAUCAACUUUAGCCAUUAGGCAUGUCGCGGUCUUAGUGGGUUGCUCCGAAAAGUUAAUCACAUAAAGACUGUUCUCGACAUGCCCAACAAAGGCUACUUUAAGAGCCUUGCUCCACAAGAGGGUCACGGUAUCAACAUCAAAGAAAGUGGCAAAACCCAUGAGUGCAAGUUGACAAACGGAGAGAAGAUUGAAUGCAAGGGACUCAACAAGCAUGACUUUCUCGAUCGUAAGAUCAUGAGAAAUGACAACCUUGCCAAGACCCAAUACCUUAGAAGACGAGGCAUCACCCCACUCGACAUUGGUGGGCAUAGAAGGAAUCUUGUGCACGUCCACCACCAAGUCCUUGCUUCCGGUCAUAUGAUUUGUUGCUCCACGAUCGAGCAACCAUGAUCCCCCACCGGAAGCAAACACCUACACGAGAUCAAUGCUUGGUUUUAGGUACCCAUUUUGUAAUGGGUCCUUUGAUUUUAGUAGUAAGGGUCUUAGGAACCCAAAUAGGCCAUUCAAUGUACUCAUAAGAAGAACCAACAAAUUUAGCAUAAACAUGCCCAUCACUAGCACGACACAACACAUAGGAAGGGUUAAAGUCGCCGGCUUUGUUGGAGGAGAUGGUUUUGCCCUUUUUGACAUCAACACCCUUCACAUUUUCCUUCUUCUCCUUAGGAGCACCCUCUCCCUCUUUCACAAAAUUUUGCUUGAGAGGAGGAGGUCGUUUGGUCUUGUCGUUCUUCUUCUUGUUCUUGGACUUGGGUGCGAACCCAAUUCCCUUCUUGGCCACAACUUCCUUUUGAUUGCUCAAAAGGUUGUUGAGGUUCUUCUUGUUGGGGAACGUAGUAAUUUCAAAAAAAUUCCUACGCACACGCAAGAUCAUGAUGAUGGUAUAGCAACGAGAGGGGAGAGUGUAUGUCCACGUACCCUCGUAGACCGUAAGCGAAAGCGUUAUGACAACGCGGUUGAUGUAGUCGUACGUCUUCACGAUCCGACUGAUCCAAGUACCGAACAUACGGCACCUCCGAGUUCAGCACACAUUCAGCUCGAUGACGAUCCCCGGACUCUAAUCCAGCAAAGUGUCGGGGAUGAGUUCCAUCAGCACGACGGCGUGGUGACGAUGAUGAUGUUCUACCGGCGCAGGGCUUCGCCUAAACUCCGCGACGAUAUGAUCGAGGUGGAAUAUGGUGGAGGGGGGCACCACACACGGCUAAGGAACGAUCCGUAGAUCAACUUGUGUGUCCAUGGGGUGCCCCCCCGCCCCCGUAUAUAAAGGAGCCAGGGGGAGGAGGCGGCCGACCAAGGAGGGCGCGCCAAGGGGGGAGUCCUACUCCCACCGGGAGUAGGACUCCCUUCUUUCCAAGUAGGAGUAGGAGAAGGGGGGAAAGAAGAGGAAGAGAGGAAGGAAAGGGGGGGCGCCGCCCCCCUUCCCUUGUCCUAUUCGGACUAGGAAGGGGAGGGGCGCGUGGCCCCCUCCUAGUUCCUUCCCUCUUCUCCCUCGAGGCCCACGUAGGCCCAAUAAACCCCCGGGGGGUUCCGGUAACCUCCCGGUACUCCGGUAAAAUGCCGAUUUCACCCGGAACAAUUCCGAUGUCCAAAUAUAGGCUUCCAAUAUAUCGAUCUUUAUGUCUCGACCAUUUCAAGACUCCUCGUCAUGUCCAUGAUCACAUCCGGGACUCCGAACAAACUUUGGUACAUCAAAACUUAUAAACUCAUAAUAAAACUGUCAUCGUAACGUUAAGCGUGCGGACCCUACGGGUUCGAGAACUAUGUAGACAUGACCUAGAACCAUUCUCGGUCAAUAACCAAUAGAGGGACCUGGAUGCCCAUAUUGGUUCCUACAUAUUCUACGAAGAUCUUUAUCGGUCAAACCGCAUAACAACAUACGUUGUUCCCUUUGUCAUCGGUAUGUUACUUGCCCGAGAUUUGAUCGUCGGUAUCCAAUACCUAGUUCAAUCUCGUUACCGGCAAGUCUCUUUACUCGUUACAUAAUGCCAACCCAUUGGUCACAUUGCUUGCAAGGCUUAUAGUGAUGUGCAUUACCGGGAGGGCCCGGAGAUACCUCUCCGACAAUCGGAGUGACAAAACCUAAUCUCAAAAUACGCCAACUCAACAUGUACCUUCGGAGACACCUGUAGUACUCCUUUAUAAUCACCCAGUUACGUUGUGACGUUUGGUAGUACCCAAAGUGUUCCUCCGGUAAACGGGAGUUGCAUAAUUCUCAUAGUUACAGGAACAUGUAUAAGUCAUGAAGAAAGCAAUAGCAAUAUACUAAACGAUCAAGUGCUAGGCUAACAGAAUGGGUCAUGUCAAUCACAUCAUUCUCCUAAUGAUGUGAUCCCACUAAUCAAAUGACAACACAUGUCUAUGGUUAGCAAACAUAACCAUCUUUGAUUAAUGAGCUAGUCAAGUAGAGGCAUACUAGUGACUAUAUGUUUGUCUAUGUAUUCACACAUGUAUCAUGUUUCCGGUUAAUACAAUUCUAGCAUGAAUAAUAAACAUUUAUCAUGAUAUGAGGAAAUAAAUAAUAACUUUAUUAUUGCCUCUAGGGCAUAUUUCCUUCAGUCUCCCACUUGCACUAGAGUCAAUAAUCUAGAUUACAUAGUAAUGAUUCUAACACCCAUGGAGUCUUGGUGCUGAUCAUGUUUUGCUCGUGAGAGAGGCUUAGUCAACGGGUCUGCAACAUUCAGAUCCGUAUGUAUUUUGCAAAUCUCUAUGUCUCCCACUUGGACUUGGUCCCGAAUGGAAUUGAAGUGUCUCUUGAUGUGCUUGGUCCUCUUGUGAAAUUUGGAUUCCUUUGCCAAGGCAAUUGCACCAGUAUUGUCACAGAAGAUCUUCAUUGGUCUCGAUGCACUAGGUAUGACACCUAGACCGGAAAUGAACUCCUUCAUCCAGACUCCUUCAUUUGCUGCUUCAGAAGAAGCUAUGUACUCCGCUUCACAUGUAGAUCCCGCCACGACGCUUUGUUUAGUACUGCACCAACUUACAGCUCCACCGUUUAAUAAAAACACGUAUCCGGUUUGCGAUUUAGAAUCGUCCGGAUCAGUGUCAAAGCUUGCAUCGACGUAACCAUUUACGACUAGCUCUUUGUCACCUCCAUAUACGAGAAACAUAUCCUUAGUCCUUUUCAGGUAUUUCAGGAUGUUCUUGACCGCUGUCCAGUGAUCCACUCCUGGAUUACUUUGGUACCUUCCUGCCAAGCUUAUUGUUAAGCAUACAUCAGGUCUGGUACACAGCAUUGCAUACAUGAUAGAGCCUAUGGCUGAAGCAUAGGGAACAUCUUUCAUUUUCUCUCUAUCUUCUGAUGUGGUCGGGCAUUGAGUUUGACUCAACUUCACACCUUGUAGCACGGGCAAGAACCCUUUCUUUGCCUGAUCCAUUUUGAACUUUUUCAAAAUUUUGUCAAGGUAUGUGCUUUGUGAAAGUCCUAUUAAGCGUCUUGAUCUAUCUCUAUAGAUCUUGAUGCCCAAUAUGUAAGCAGCUUCACCGAGGUCUUUCAUUGAAAAACUUUUAUUCAAGUAUCCCUUUAUGCUAUCCAGAAAUUCUAUAUCAUUUCCAAUUAAUAAUAAGUCAUCUACAUAUAAUAUCAGAAAUGCUACAGAGCUCCCACUCACUUUCUUGUAAAUACAGGCUUCUCCAAAAGUCCGUAUAAAACCAUAUGCUUUGAUCACACUAUCAAAACGUUUAUUCCAACUCGGAGAUGCUUGCACCAGUCCAUAAAUGGAUCGCUGGAGCUUGCACACCUUAUUAGCACCUUUUGGAUCAACAAAACCUUCUGGCUGCAGCAUAUACAACUCUUCUUCUAGAAAUCCAUUCAAGAAUGCAGUUUUGACAUCCAUUUGCCAAAUUUCAUAAUCAUGAAAUGCAGCAAUAGCUAACAUGAUUUGGACAGACUUAAGCAUCGCUACAGGUGAGAAAGUCUCAUCGUAGUCAACCCCUUGAACUUGUCGAAAACCUUUCGCAACAAGUCGAGCUUUAUAGACAGUUACAUUACCAUCAGCGCCAGUCUUCUUCUUAAAGAUCCAUUUAUUCUCAAUGGCUUGCCGAUCAUCGGGCAAGUCAACCAAAGUCCAUACUUUGUUUUCAUACAUGGAUCCCAUCUCAGAUUUCAUGGCCUCUAGCCAUUUUGUGGAAUCUGGGCUCAUCAUCGCUUCCUCAUAGUUCGUAGGUUCAUCAUGGUCAAGUAACAUGACUUCCAAAAUAGGAUUACCAUACCACUCUGGUGCGGAUCUUACUCUGUUAGACCUACGAGGUUCAGUAGAAACUUGAUCUGAAGUUUCAUGAUCAAUAUCAUUAGCUUCCUCACUAAUUGGUGUAGUCGUCACAGGAACCGGUUCUUGUGAUGAACUACUUUCCAAUAAGGGAGUAGAUACAGUUAUCUCAUCAAGUUCUACUUUCCUCCCACUCACUUCUUUCGAGAGAAACUCCUUCUCUAGAAAGGAUCCGAUUUUAGCAACGAAAAUCUUGCCCUCAGAUCUGUGAUAGAAGGUGUACCCAAUAGUCUCUUUUGGGUAUCCUAUGAAGACACAUUUCUCCGAUUUGGGUUCGAGCUUAUCUGGUUGAAGUUUCUUCACAUAAGCAUCGCAGCCCCAAACUUUAAGAAACGACAACUUUGGUUUCUUGCCAAACCACAGUUCAUAAGGCGUCGUCUUAACGGAUUUUGAUGGUGCCCUAUUUAACGUGAAUGCGGCCGUCUCUAAAGCAUAACCCCAAAACGAUAGCGGUAAAUCAGUAAGAGACAUCAUAGAUCACACCAUAUCUAGUAAAGUACGAUUACGACAUUCGGACACACCAUUUCAUUGUGGUGUUCCGGGUGGCGUGAGUUGCAAAACUAUUCUGCAUUGUUUCAAGUGUAGGCCAAACUCGUAACUCAAAUAUUCUCCUCCACGAUCAGAUCGUAGAAAUUUUAUUUUCUUGUUACGAUGAUUUUCCACUUCACUCUGAAAUUCUUUGAACCUUUCAAAUGUUUCAGACUUGUGUUUCAUCAAGUAGAUAUACCCAUAUCUGCUCAAAUCAUAUGUGAGGGUGAGAAAAUAACGAUACCCGCCGCGAGCCUCAACAUUCAUUGGACCACAAACAUCAGUAUGUAUGAUUUCCAACAAAUCAGUUGCUCGUUCCAUAGUUCUGGAGAACGGUGUUUUAGUCAUCUUGCCCAUGAGGCACGGUUCGCAAGUACCAAGUGAUUCAUAAUCAAGUGAUUCCAAAAGCCCAUCAGUAUGGAGUUUCUUCAUGCGCUUUACACCGAUAUGACCUAAACGGCAGUGCCACAAAUAAGUUGUACUAUCAUUAUCAACUCUGCAUCUUUUGGUUUCAACACUAUGAAUAUGUGUAUCACUACUAUCGAGAUUCAAUAAAAAUAGACCACUCUUCAAAGGUGCAUGACCAUAAAAGAUAUUACUCAUAUAAAUAGAACAACCAUUAUUCUCUGAUUUAAAUGAAUAACCGUCUCGCAUCAAACAAGAUCCAGAUAUAAUGUUCAUGCUCAACGCUGGCACCAAAUAACAAUUAUUUAGGUCUAAAACUAAUCCCGAUGGUAGAUGUAGAGGUAGCGUGUCGACCGCGAUCACAUCGACUUUGGAACCAUUUCCCACGCGCAUCGUCACCUCGUCCUUAGCCAAUCUUCGCUUAAUCUGUAGUCCCUGUUUCGAGUUGCAAAUAUUAGCAACAGAACCAGUAUCAAAUACCCAGGUGCUACUACGAGCAUUAGUAAGGCACACGUCAAUAACAUGUAUAUCACAUAUACCUUUGUUCACUUUGCCAUCCUUCUUAUCCGCCAAAUACUUGGGGCAGUUCCACUUCCAGUGUCCAGUCUGCUUGCAGUAGAAGCACUCAGUUUCAGGCUUAGGUCCAGACUUGGGUUUCUUCUCUUGAACAACAAUUUUCUUGCUGUUCUUUUUUGAAGUUCCCCUUGUUCUUCCCUUUGCCCUUUUUCUUGAAACUGGUGGUCUUGUUAACCAUCAACACUUGAUGCUCCUUUUUGAUUUCUACCUCCGCUGCUUUUAGCAUUGCGAAGAGCUCGGGAAUAGUCUUGUUCAUCCCUUGCAUAUUAUAGUUCAUCACGAAGCUCUUGUAGCUUGGUGGCAGUGAUUGGAGAAUUCUGUCAAUGACACUAUCAUCAGGAAGAUUAACUCCUAGUUGAAUCAAGUGAUUAUUAUACCCAGACAUUUUGAGUAUGUGUUCACUGACAGAACUAUUCUCCUCCAUCUUGCAGCUGUAGAACUUAUUGGAGACUUCAUAUCUCUCAAUCCGGGCAUUUGCUUGAAAUAUUAACUUCAACUCCUGGAACAUCUCAUAUGCUCCAUGACGUUCAAAACGUCGUUGAAGACCCGGUUCUAAGCCGUAAAGCAUGGCACACUAAACUAUCGAGUAGUCAUCAGCUUUGCUCUGCCGGACGUUCUUAACGUCGUCAGUUGCAUCAGCAGCAGGCCUGGCACCCAGCGGUGCUUCCAGGACGUAACUUUUCUGUGCAGCAAUGAGGAUAAUCCUCAGGUUACGGACCCAGUCCGUGUAAUUGCUACCAUCAUCUUUCAACUUUGCUUUCUCAAGGAACGCAUUAAAAUUCAACGGAACAACAACACGAGCCAUCUAUCUACAAACAAACAUAGACAAGCAAAAUACUAUCAGGUACUAAGUUCAUGAUAAAUUUAAGUUCAAUUAAUCAUAUUACUAAAGAACUCCCACUUAGACAGGCAUCUCUCUAGUCAUCUAAGUGAUCACGUGAUCCAAAUCAACUAAACCAUGUCCGAUCAUCACGUGAGAUGGAGUAGUUUUAAUGGUGAAAAUCACUAUGUUGAUCAUAUCUACUAUAUGAUUCACGCUCGACCUUUCGGUCUCCGUGUUCCGAGGCCAUAUCUGUAUAUGCUAGGCUCGUCAAGUAUGACCUGAGUAUUCCGCGCGUGCAACUGUUUUGCACCCGUUGUAUUUGAACGUAGAGCCUAUCACACUCAAUCAUCACGCGGUGUCUCAGCACGAAGAACUUUCACAACGGUGCAUACUCAGGGAGAACACUUCUUGAUUAUUAGUGAGAGAUCAUCUUAAAAUGCUACCGUCAAUCAAAGCAAGAUAAGAUGCAUAAAGGAUAAACAUCACAUGCAAUCAAUAUAAGUGAUAUGAUAUGGCCAUCAUCAUCUUGUGCUUGUGAUCUCCAUCUUUGAAGCACCGUCAUGAUCACCAUCGUCACCGGCGCGACACCUUGAUCUCCAUAGUAGCAUCAUUGUUGUUACGCCAUCUAUUGCUUCUACGACUAUCGCUACCGCUUAGUGAUAAAGUAAAGCAAUUACAGGGCGUUUGCAUUUCAUACAAUAAAGCGACAACCAUAUGGCUCCUGCCAGUUGCCGAUAACUUCGGUUACAAAACAUGAUCAUCUCAUACAAUAAAAUAUAGCAUCACGUCUUGACCAUAUCAUAUCACAACAUGCCCUGCAAAAACAAGUUAGACGUCCUCUAAUUUGUUGUUGCAAAUUUUACGUGGCUGCUACGGGCUGAGCAAGAACCGUUCUUACCUACGCAUCAAAAACCACAACGAUAGUUCGUCAAGUUGGUGUUGUUUUAACCUUCGCAAGGACCGGGCGUAGCCACACUCGAUUCGGCUAAAGUGAGAGAGACAGACACCCGCCAGCCACCUUUAAGCACGAGUGCUCGUAACGGUGAAACCAGUCUCGCGUAAGCGUACGCGUAAUGUCGGUCCGGGCCGCUUCAUCUCACAAUACCGCCGAACCAAAGUAUGACAUGCUGGUAAGCAGUAUGAAUUGUAUCGCCCACAACUCACUUGUGUUCUACUCGUGCAUAUAACAUCAACGCAUAAAACCUUGGCUCUGAUGCCACUGUUGAGGAACGUAGUAAUUUCAAAAAAAUUCCUAGGCACACGCAAGAUCAUGGUGAUGGUAUAGCAACGAGAGGGGAGAGUGUAUGUCCAUGUACCCUCGUAGACCGUAAGCGGAAGCAUUAUGACAACGCGGUUGAUGUAGUCGUACGUCUUCACGAUCCGACCGAUCCACGUACCGAACGUACGGCACCUCCGAGUUCAGCACACGUUCAGCUCGAUGACGAUCCCCGGACUCCGAUCCAACAAAGUGUCGGGGAUGAGUUCCGUCAGCACGACGGCGUGGUGACGAUGAUGAUGUUCUACCGGCGCAGGGCUUCGCCUAAACUCCGCGAUGAUAUGACCGAGGUGGAAUAUGGUGGAGGGGGGCACCGCACACGGCUAAGGAACGAUCCGUAGAUCAACUUGUGUGUCNNNNNNNNNNNNNNNNNNNNNNNNNNNNNNNNNNNNNNNNNNNNNNNNNNNNNNNNNNNNNNNNNNNNNNNNNNNNNNNNNNNNNNNNNNNNNNNNNNNNNNNNNNNNNNNNNNNNNNNNNNNNNNNNNNNNNNNNNNNNNNNNNNNNNNNNNNNNNNNNNNNNNNNNNNNNNNNNNNNNNNNNNNNNNNNNNNNNNNNNNNNNNNNNNNNNNNNNNNNNNNNNNNNNNNNNNNNNNNNNNNNNNNNNNNNNNNNNNNNNNNNNNNNNNNNNNNNNNNNNNNNNNNNNNNNCGGCCGGCCACCCUUCUUUCCAAGUAGGAGUAGGAGAAGGGGGAAAGAGGAGGAAGAGAGGAAGGAAAGGGGGGCGCCGCCCCCCUUCCCUUGUCCUAUUCGGACUAGGAAGGGGAGGGGCACGCGGCCCCCUCCUGGUUCCUUCCCUCUUCUCCCUCGAGGCCCAUGUAGGCCCAAUAAACCCCCGGGGGGUUCCGGUAACCUCCCGGUACUCCGGUAAAAUGCCGAUUUCACCCGGAACAAUUCCGAUGUCCAAAUAUAGGCUUCCAAUAUAUCGAUCUUUAUGUCUCGACCAUUUUGAGACUCCUCGUCAUGUCCGUGAUCACAUCCGGGACUCCGAACAAACUUCGGUACAUCAAAACUUAUAAACUCAUAAUAAAACUGUCAUCAUAAUGUUAAGCGUGCGGACCCUACGGGUUCGAGAACUAUGUAGACAUGACCUAGAACCAUUCUCGGUCAAUAACCAAUAGCGGGACCUGGAUGCCCAUAUUGGUUCCUACAUAUUCUACGAAGAUCUUUAUCGGUCAAACCGCAUAACAACAUACGUUGUUCCCUUUGUCAUCGGUAUGUUACUUGCCCGAGAUUUGAUCGUCGGUAUCCAAUACCUAGGUCAAUCUCGUUACCGACAAGUCUCUUUACUCGUUACGUAAUGCAUCAUCCCGUAACCAACCCAUUGGUCACAUUGCUUGCAAGGCUUAUAGUGAUGUGCAUUACAGAGAGGGCCCAAAGAUACAUCUCCGACAAUCGGAGUGACAAAACCUAAUCUCGAAAUACGCCAACUCAACAUGUACCUUCGGAGACACCUGUAGUACUCCUUUAUAAUCACCCAGUUACGUUGUGACGUUUGGUAGUACCCAAAGUGUUCCUCCGGUAAACGGGAGUUGCAUAAUUCUCAUAGUUACAGGAACAUGUAUAAGUCAUGAAGAAAGCAAUGGCAAUAUACUAAACGAUCAAGUGCUAGGCUAACGGAAUGGGUCAUGUCAAUCACAUCAUUCUCCUAAUGAUGUGAUCCCACUAAUCAAAUGACAACACAUGUCUAUGGUUAGGAAACAUAACCAUCUUUGAUUAAUGAGCUAGUCAAGUAGAGGCAUACUAGUGACUAUAUGUUUGUCUAUGUAUUCACACAUGUAUCAUGUUUCCGGUUAAUACAAUUCUAGCAUGAAUAAUAAACAUUUAUCAUGAUAUGAGGAAAUAAAUAAUAACUUUAUUAUUGCCUCUAGGGCAUAUUUUCUUCACUUCUCACCUUGAAUACAUGUCACAAGGCCUUUCUCAAGUUGAUCCUUCAACUUGGCAUUCUCGUCCACAAGAUGCACAUGCUCACAACACGGGUUAGUAGCAUAUGCAUUAUCAAUUAAUACCAUAUGAGGAAAGGUGGCCUUUUCCUUGGUUAGUUUAACUUGGAGUUGAGCAUGAGACUCCUUGAGGUUAGCAUGAGUACCCUUCAAGACCUUGUGGGCCUUGUCAAGUACGUCAAACUCCUCCUUGAGUCUAGCAUGAUCAACCCCAAGUUUAUCCUUCUCGGAAGUUAGCACCCGAGACACCACAAGAGCAUGAUCAAGAUCUUUCUUUAACUUAGCAUGUUCAUCGUUAUGUGACUCCUCAAGAGCCAAACGAUGCCCACGCUCUUCCACAAGAGCAUUAGAGAGAUCUGAUAUCUCAUCGGCAUUGUCACGACUAUGACCUUCCAUCUUAGAGAUGGUUUCUUCGUGAGCCUCGAUCAUGUCAUUGGUUUCACCAAGUUGUUCCAAGAGAGCAACAAAGUGCUUCUUGGAUUUGCCCUUGAGCUUACUCAUAAAGGACUCAAAUUCAUUCACAUCCUCAUUAGACCCCUCAUGUUCAUCAAUGCAACCCACCAAAGAGGGAUUAGUAAUGAUGGUGGUUUUGAUGUUGGGGGUUACCUUGUUAGAGGCUUUGGCCAUGAGGCACUUGGCGGUGAUGUUCUCGUUGGGUGAAUCGAAGAGAGGCAUCCAGGGAGUUGUGGCAAUGGCAACGGAUGCCAUGGCCACCGCUUCACUAUCUUCAUCAUCAUCGUCAUCCUCACGGUAUUCUUCUUGAACCACCAACCCUCGAGUAGGAGUCUUUUUGGUGAAGUUGUUCUUGUUGGGGAAGGACUUGGCUUUGUCUUUUCGGAUGAGCUUGCCACCAUUGUCUUCCCGCUUCUCGUACGGACAAUCCGCAACGAAAUGGUGUUGGGGAACGUAGCAGAAAUUCAAAAUUUUCUACGCAUCACCAAGUUCAAUCUAUGGAGAGACUAGCAACGAGAGAGAGAGGGAGUGCAUCUUCAUACCCUUGAAGAUCGCUAAGCGGAAUCGUUACAAGAACGCGGUCGGUGGAGUCGUUCACGAAGCGAUUUAGAUCGCGGCCGAAUCCGAUCUAAGCACUGAACAACGGUGCCUCCCUGUUCAACACACGUACAGCCCGGGGACGUCUCCUCCUUCUUGAUCCAGCAAGGGGAGAGGAGAAGUUGAGGGAGAACUCCGACAGCACGACGGCAUGGUGGCGAUGGAGCUCGUGGUUCUCCGGCAGGGCUUCGCCAAGCACUACGGAGGAGGAAGAGGUGUUGGAGGAGGGAGAGGGCUGCGCCAGGGGAAGGGUGCGGCUGCCCUCUCUCUCCCUCACUAUAUAUAGGGGGAAGGGAGGAGGGGGAGGCGCCCUAGGGUUCCCUAGGGGAGGGGCGGCGGCCACAGGGGAAACCCUAGAUGGGUUUGGGCGCCCCACCCCCUAGGAAACUUGCCGCCCAAGCCGGGAGGGGCGGCUGCCCUAGGGGUGGCGCCCCCACCUCUCCUGGUUACAUGAGAUGGGGUGGGAGGGGCGCUCAACCCCUUAGUGGGCUGAUGUGCCCUCUCCCCUUGGCCCAUAAGGCCCCCAACGCUUGUCGGGGCCUCCAAAACCCCUUUCGGACACGCUGGUCAUCACCUGGUACCCCCGGAACAAUUCCGGACUCCAAUACCCUUCGUCCAAUAUACCAAUCUUCACCUCCGAACCAUUCCGGAGCUCCUCCUCAUGUCCGGGAUCUCAUACGGGACUCCGAACAACCUUCGGUAACCACAUACUAUUUCCCAUAACAACUCUAGCGUCACCGAACCUUAAGUGUGUAGACCCUACGGGUUCGGGAACCAUGCAGACAUGACCGAGACGUUCUCUGGUCAAUAACCAACAGCGGGAUCUGGAUACCCAUGUUGGCUCCCACAUGUUCCACGAUGAUCUCAUCGAAUGAACCACGAUGUCAAGGAUUCAAGCAAUUCCGUAUGCAAUUCCCUUUGUCAAUCGGUAUGUUACUUGCCCGAGAUUCGAUCGUCGGUAUCCCAAUACCUCGUUCAAUCUCGUUACCGGCAAGUCACUUUACUCAUUCCAUAAUGCAUGAUCCCGUGACUAACUACUUAGUCACAUUGAGCUCAUUAUGAUGGUGCAUUACCGAGUGGGCCCAGAGAUACCUCUCCGUCAUACGGAGUGACAAAUCCCAGUCUCGAUUCGUGCCAACCCAACAGACACUUUCGGAGAUACCUGUAGUGCACCUUUAUAGCCACCCAGUUACGUUGUGACGUUUGGUACACCCAAAGUACUCCUACGAUAUCAGGGAAUUACACAAUCUCAUGGUCUAAGGAAAUGAUACUUGACAUUAGAAAAGCUUUAGCAAACGAACUACACGAUCUUGUGCUAUGCUUAGGAUUGGGUCUUGUCCAUCACAUCAUUAUCCUAAUGAUGUGAUACCGUUAUCAAUGACAUCCAAUGUCCAUGGUCAGGAAACAAUGACCAUCUGUUGAUCAACGAGCUAGUCAACUAGAGGCUCACUAGGGACAUGUUGUGGUCUAUGUAUUCACACAUGUAUUGCGGUUUCCGGUCAAUACAAUUAUAGCAUGAAUAAUAGACAAUUAUCAUGAAAAAGGAAAUACAAUAAUAACCAUUUUAUUAUUUCCUCUAGGGCAUAUUUCCAACAGUCUCCCACUUGCACUAGAGUCAAUAAUCUAGUUCACAUCACUAUGUGAUUGUAAUGAAUCAACACCCAUUGGGUUUGAUCAUAUCUCGCUUGUGAAAGAGGUUAUUAGUCAACGGAUCUGAACCUUUCAGAUCCGUGUGUGCUUUGCAAAUCUCUAUGUCAUCUCCUAGAUGCGACUACCGCGCUCUAUUUGGAGCUAUUCCAAAUAAAUGUUCUACUAUACGAAUCCGGUUUACUACUCAGAAUAAUCCGGUUUAGUGUCAAAGUUUGCAUCGGCGUAACCCUUUACGACGAACUCUUUUACCACCUCCAUAAUCGAGAAAAUUCCUUAGUCCACUAGUUACUAAGGAUAACCUUGACCGUUGUCCCGUGAUCCAUUCCUGGAUCACACUUGUACCCCUUGAAUGACUCAUGGCAAUGCACACUUCAGGUGCGGUACACAGCAUAGCAUACUGUAGAGCCUACGUCUAAAGCAUAGGGGACGACCUUCGUCCUUUCUCUCUUUUCUGCCGUGGUCAUGUCUUGAGUCUUUCUCAAUACUCAUACCUUAUAACACAGCCAAGAACUCCUUCUUUUCCGAUCUAUUUUGAACUCCUUCAAAAUCUUGUCACGAUAUGUAUUUAUUUGAAAGUACUAUUAAGUGUUUUGAUCUAUCUUUAUAGAUCUUGAUGCUCAAUGUUCAAGUAGCUUAAUCCAGGGUUUCCAUUGAAAAACACUUUUCAAAUAACCCUAUAUGCUGUCUAGAAAUUCUACAUCAUUUCUGAUCAACAAUAUGUCAAUAACAUCUACUCAUCAGAAAUUCUAAGUGCUCCCACUCACUUCUUUGGAAAUACAAGUUUCUCAUAAACAUUGUAUAAACCCAAAAUCUUUGAUCAUCUCAUCAAAGCGUAUAUUCCAACUCCGAGAUGCUUACUCCAGUCCUUAGAAGGAUUGCUGGAGCUUUGCAUACUUGUUAGCAUCUUUCAGGAUUGACAAAACCUUCUGGUUGUAUCACAUACAACCUUUCCUCAAGAAUAUCGUUGAGGAAAUAAUGUUUUGACAUCCUAUCUGCAAGAUUUCAUAAAUCAUGCAGUAAUUGCUAAUAUAAUUCCAACAGACUCUUACCAUCGCUACGAGUGAGAAAGUCUCAUCGUAGUCAACUCCUUGAACUUGUCAGAAAACAUCUUAACGACAAGUCAAGCUUUCUUAAUGGUGAUACUUACCAUCAUUGUCCGUCUUCCUUUUAAAAUCCAUCUGUACCCAACAGCCUUACGACCAUCAAGUAGUUCUUCCAAAGUCUACACUUUGUUUUCAUACAUGGAUCCUUUCUUGGAUUUUAUGGCCUCGAGCCAUUUGUCGGAAUCCGGGCCCCCCAGCGCUUCUCCAUAGCUUGUAGGUUCAUUGUUGUCUAGCAACAUGACCUUCAAAACAUGAUUACUGUACUACUCUGAAGUAGUACGCAUCCUUGUCACCCUACGAGGUACGGUAGUGACUUGAUCCGAAGCUUCAUGAUCACUAUCAUAAGCUUCUACUUCAAUUGGUGUAGGUGCCACAGGAACAACUUCCUGUGCCCUGCUACACACUGGUUGAAGUGAUGGUUCAAUAACCUUAUCAAGUCUCCACCAUCCUCCCACUCAAUUCUUUCGAGAGAAACUUUUCCUCGAGAAAGGACCCGAUUCUAGAAAGAAUCCCUUUUGCUUCCAGGUAUGAUAUAGGAGGUAUACCCAACUGUUUUUGGGUGUCCUAUGAAGAUGCAUUUAUCCGCUUUGGGUUCGAGCUUAUCAGCCUGAAACUUUUUCACAUAAGCAUCGAAGCCCCAAACCUUUUAAGAAACGACAGCUUAGGUUUCUCUAAACCAUAGUUCAUACAGUGUCAUCUUAAUGGAAUUGUGUGGUGCCCUAUUAAAGUGAAUGUGGUUGUCUCUAAUGCCUAACCCAUAAACGAUAGUAUUAAUUCGAUAAGAGACAUCAUGGUAUGCACCAUAUCCAAUAGGGUGCAGUUAUGAUGUUCGGACACACCAUCACACUAUGGUGUUCCAGGCGGUAUUAGUUGUGAAACAAUUUCCACAAUGUCUUAAUUGUGUGCCAAACUCGUAACUCAGAUAUUCAUCUCUAUGAUCAUAUCAUAGACAUUUUAUCCUUUUGUCAUGACGAUCUUCAACUUCACUCUGAAAUUACUUGAACCUUUCAAUAAUUCAGACUUUUUUUUCAUCAAGUAAAUACACUUGGCAUCUACUCAAAUCAUCUGUGAAGUAAGAACAUAACGAUAUCCACUGCGUGCCUCGGCACUCAUUGGACUGCACCAUCAAAAUGUAUUAUUUCCAACAAGUUGCUUUCUUCUUCUAUUUCACUGAAAACGAGGCCUUUCAGUCAUCUUGUCCAUGUGGUAUGGUUUGCAUGUCUCAAGUGAUUCAAAAUCAGGUGAGUCCAAACGAUCCAUCUGCAUGGAGUUUCUUCAUGUGUAUAUACCAAUAGACAUGGUUCGCAUGUCUCAAUCUUUUCAAAAAUGAGUGAGUCCAAAGAUCCAUCAACAUGGAGCUUCUUCAUGCGUUUUAUACCAAUAUGACUCAAAUGGCAGUGCCACAAGUAUGUGGUACUAUCAUUACUAUCUUAUAUCUUUUGGCAUGAACAUGUGUAUCACUAUGAUCGAGAUUCAAUAAACCAUUCAUUUUAGGUGCAAGACCAUUGAAGGUAUCAUUCAAAUAAACAGAGUAACCAUUAUUCUCCUUAAAUGAAUAACCGUAUUGCGAUAAACAUAAUCCAAUCAUGUCUAUACUCAACGCAAACACCAAAUAACAAUUAUUUAGGUUUAACACCAAUCUCGAUGGUAGAGGGAGAAUGCGAUGCUUGAUCACAUCAACCUUGGAAACACUUCCAACACAUAUCGUCAUCUCACCUUUAGCUAGUCUCCGUUUAUUCCGUAGCUCUUUUAUUUCAAGUUACUAACACUUAGCAACCGAACCAGUAUCUUAAUACCCUGGUGCUACUAGGAGUACUAGUAAAGCACACAUUAAUAUAAUGUAUAUCCAAUAUACUUCUAUCGACCUUGCCAGCCUUCUCAUCUACCAAGUAUCUAGGGUAGUUCUGCUUCAGUGACCGUUCCCCUCAUUACAGAAGCACUUAGUCUCGGGCUUGGCUUCAACCUUGGGUUUCUUUACUAGAGCAGCAACUGAUUUGCCAUUUCAUGAAGUAUCCCUUCUUGCCCUUGCCCUUCUUGAAACUAGUGGUUUCACUAACCAUCAACAAUUUAUGCUUCUUCUGGAUUUCUACUUUCGCGGCGUCAUAACAUCGCGAAUAUUUCAAGGAUCGUCAUAUCUAUCCCUGAUAUGUUAUAGUUCAUCACGAAGCUCUAGCAGCUUGGUGGCAAUGACUUUGGAGAAACAUCACUAUCUCAUCUGGAAGAUUAACUCCCACUCAAUUCAAGUGAUUAUUGUACUCAGACAAUCUGAGCACAAGCUCAACGAUUGAGCUUUUCUCCCUCAGUUUGCAGGCUAAGAAACUCGUCGGAGGUCUUAUACCUCUUGACAUGGGCACGAGCCUGAAAUCCCAAUUUCAGCCCUCGAAACAUCUCAUAUGUUCCGCGACGUUUCGAAAUUGUCUUCGGUGCCUCAAUUCUAAACCGUUUAACAUCACUGAACUAUCACGUAGUUAUCAAAACGUGUAUGUCAGAUGUUCGCAACAUCCACAGACGACGCUCGAGGUUCAGCGCACCGAGUGGUGCAUUAAGGACAUAAGCCUUAUGCGCAACAAUGAGGACAAUCCUCAGUUUACGGACCCAAUCCGCAUAAUUGCUACCAUUAACUUUCAACUAAAUUUUCUCUAGGAACAUAUCUAAAAUAGUAGAACUAAAGCGCGAGCUACGACAUAAUUUGCAAAAAACCUUUUGACUAUGUUCAGGAUAAUUAAGUUCAUCUUAUGAAGUCCCACUCAGAUAGACAUCCCUCUAGUCAUCUAAGUGAUACAUGAUCCGAGUCAACUAGGUCGUGUCCGAUCAUCACGUGAGACGGACUAGUCAUCAUCGGUGAACAUCUUCAUGUUGAUUGUAUCCACUAUACGACUCAUGUUCGACCUUUCGGUCUCUUGUGUUCCGAGGCCAUGUCUGUACAUGCUAGGCUCGUCAAGUCAACCUAAGUGUUUCGCGUGUGUAAAUCUGGCUUACACCCAUUGUAUGUGAACGUUAGAGUCUAUCACACCCGAUCAUCACGUGGUGCUUUGAAACAACAAACUUUUGCAACGGUGCACAGUUAGGGGGAACACUUUGUUGAAAUUAUUAUGAGGGAUCAUCUUAUUUACUACUUGUUCUAAGCAAAUAAGAUGCAUAAACAUUAAUAACUCUUCUUCCUUUCAUUGAGCCCAUGAAGUUGAGAAUGUGCUCCACCCCCCGGUCCAUUUCCUGUUGGAUGCUCAUGAGCAUGAUCAUUUCGACUUCGCCGUCUGAAUCCGACGAAUCAAAGAACUCUUUUUAAACCAGUUCAUCAAGCUCCGACAGUCCAUAUUGCUCGUCCAAUGAACCAUUGGAAUCCAUCCUUCUACCUACGAAAAAAUGACUAAAAACUGUGGUCGUACAUAAAGGGCAAGGUGCAGUCUGAGAGUUGCCGGACGUACCACGGUGGCGUCUGAGCCGUCUACUAUUUCCGCGGCAGCGAGAACGGAUAAGAGGACUACUGUGCCGGUGCUGGCGAUACUGAGGCCGGGCGGCGGACCUAGGAGACGGCCAGUGUGAAGGAGGAAGAAGAGAGGAAAGGAGAAGUGAAAUCGAUAGGUUGGGGGGAGGGAGUUGGUGCAUUUUUUGUUGGGAUCCGCUAUCACAUCCGAUGUGUCGGACGCACCCGGUCACACCUUAUAUCCGCCCCAAAUUUGGGCUGAAAAUGAGCGGUGCCGAUCAGGUCAAGCGUCUAAGACCGUUUUGAGGCGCCUGUCUGGGUUGCUUUUUUUUAACUGUCACUGACCGGGUCAUUCGCCCAAUCGUUUAUGAAGGGUUUGAGACACCCGACCCUAGAUGCUCUUAGGGGGGAGGGGACGGAUUUGUAAGUCCGGCUGCAGAUGCUCCAAUCAACGAUCUACCAGGACAGAGGGAGUGGAUGCGUCAAGGUGAAGUUUGGCGAUGAAGUAUGUACGUCUGUGUUCUUCUGAGUGUUCAUACGUAACCGCGUGGUAAUCAGUGUUCAUCAAAAGUAAUUGCCUUCUUUACUAUGACUAGCAAAAAUGCCCGUGCGUUGCAAAGGGAGAAAAUUUAACUUCCCUAAGAAUAAAAUAUAAAUCAUCAUUUAAUUUAUGAUCCACGACAAUUAUUCCCAAGAUGAAAAAGAACUAUGCAUUCAAUCAUACCGUCUUUGCAAAAUGAUCACAAUUAAGUUUGUGGCUUCAUAGUUUCAUUCUCACAUCCAUGCCACAAUCAAAUGAAAAGAAAGAAAAAAAUGUUUCGGAAUAGGCCCAUCUUGGCUGACGUAGGGAAAAAAAUAGAAACGUAUUAUUUUUCGCUGCUCCACAACUGAAUCGAAGAAAGAAAAAAAGUGUGGAGCAGCCUAGCUUGGCCCACGCAUCGGAGAAAUAUAAAAGGUGUGUGGUACAUUGGUUGAUAGAUGACAGCUGAAACUAUAAUUGGACGAAAAAAUCCUUCCUUCAUUUAAUAUUAAUAUAAUAAUUAGUAUAUAUAUAAAAAGGAUUCGGGCAACAAACUGACACGAAUUUUACAUCGGGGCAAAAUUUCAAUGACCUCAUCGAGGCGAUGACGGAGUUUGCAACAUCUGGUUCAUGACCAUGGAUUGCACGGAUCAUGUUCCGUGCAGCCAACAACAACAAUCAAACCAUCAACAAAAUCUAGGAGGUUGACCGCAUCCCGAUGAAUAUUGUUGUGAGUAAUUGGAAAUUUUCUUGCAGAGCAAGAUGAUUAUUUUUUGAAUGGAUGAACAUUUUUAGAACUUGUGAACAUUUUUUCAACAGGCACACAUUUUUGGAAUUGGUGAAUAUUUUUUGAAAUUAAUGAACAUUUUUUGUUUGAAGAACAUUAUUUUUAAUGCAUUGAGAUUUUGAAUCAGCGAAUAUUUCUGCAAUUGAUGAUUUUUUUUAAAAUUCACGGUCAUUUUUAUUUUUGUGAACAUUGUUAUAAAAAGUUAAUGAACAUGUUUUGAAUUCACAGAUUUUUUGUUAAAUUCAUAAACAUUUUACUACUUCUGAAACAUUUUUUUAAAUUCACAUUUUUUUAUUUGGAACUUUUUUGAAAUCCCAAAAUAUUUAAAGAAGAAAAAAGAAAAAAAGAAAAUAGUUGCGUCCCUCCCCGCUCAUGGGCCAGCCUAAUAGGGUGCACGGUUUCUAAAACAUUUUUCAAUAUUCUCAUUUUCUUUCGAAAUUGGAAACUUUCUAAAAUCCCAAAUUAUUUUAAAUAAGGAAAAUAGAAAGAAAAAACGAAAUAAGGAAAAGGGAAGCCCCUUACCGCUAAUGGGCCGGCCCAAUAGGGCGCACGCGGGUGGAACAUAUAUGUGGCUUUAUUCCUCUGACUUUUCACUGAACGUUGUGUCUGGUGGACUGGUUGUUGCAUUGUGCUGUGAUAUAAGUUAGCAGGGUUCGAGUCCGUUUUUUAAAAAUAUCUUUUAACGUAAAACAGAGACGGACAAAAAACAUUUAUAUUUUUUAACGUAAAACAGCGACGGACAAAAAACAAAAAACUGACGAAAAACAUCGAUGGACCAAAAUAGGAGAAUAGAUAGAUAUAGAUAUAGAUACAUGAAAGCAAUACUCUAGAUUAUUGUGAACGAUGUUAACGAUACUGCUUCGUGCGGUCAGCACACAGCGUUGAUGCAUGACAACCCGUAAGAUUCGUCCCAUCAACUUAAUCACUAUUGCAUUCGCAUAGCUUGGUCUCACCAAGUCACCAACAGUACACUCGGAUGCCACGAUCUCAGCAUGCUGAUCGACCUCCUCAAAGCCUCCUGACGGUGAUGGUCCUCAUCAAGCUGCCUGCCUUCGAUCACUUGGGUCAUCUCCUAUUGAGAGAUCUGACGGCCCUAACAAUCCCCUGCGCAAAGAGACAAAGAACAGCAAGGGAACAUGGCUAGAUAUGAUUUGCCACAUGAUAUACAGGAUUCUGCAUGCUUUUAGAGCCAUAAAUUUACCUCAGGUACUAAUAUGCUGAAAAACAAAGACUAGUACAUUGUGACUGUUAGAUAUCAUGAAUAGACAAGGAAACGAUGCUUCCUCAAGAAAUCCAAUUCAUUAACACUUAACAAUGUUCUGAAUUUUACCAUUGCGUAUGCAAUGUAACUUUUAUGCCUCAUACCAAACUAACGAACACACACACAAGGUAAGCUGGGAUCAAACCCCAUGGGUCGACGGGGAUUCAGAGCCCCGAUCCCGGUCUGGGAGGGGGUAAACCGAACAGAGCCCCAACGAGAAUACCCACCUGGUCGGAUCCAUUCCGCUCCUUGGUUCUGAAAAAUCAAAGCCAUGAAGUGCAUGCUAACUCUCCAAGUAAAGAAACAGACGUUCAAGUUAGUCUUCCCACCGAUAACAAUUCACUUGUGCUCCUAAUUCCUAAACCUAUCUUGCCUAAAUCCAAACACAGAAAAUCAGAGGAACAUAGGACGAUGCAUUGAAAUAAGAUUACAUUCUAAUUUUAGUUCUAUGUCCAUAUGUAAGUAUAAGACACUUGCCUUCGGUCCGCUACAACAAUCAUCACAGAGACAAGAAGGCUUGGGUGUUUGGCUAAGCUUAACUUUGGCUUUUGGUGUUUGGUUUAUAAGCCAAAAAGCAUCUAUGUCUGUGCUUUUGGCCCUGGCUUUGGCUUAGACCAUCAUGUAACAAUACCAAGUCAAAAGCCCAAAGCCAAAAGCACAUAAAUAGGUGCUUAAGGUUUAGGGUUUAUAACAUAAAGUUAAGCCUAACCAUCAACUCAUUCAGCAUUCCAUGAUGACAUUUAAUUGCAUGGUAAUAAGCUGGGCUAGCCACUUUAAUAUGUUGGUUAUAGCGGUACCAAUGUACUUCAUCUACAGACUAGUUGCAAAACAAUGAUAGCUAGCCCUCAAGUUCUAUGGUACCUUCAGCAAUAUUGUAAUUUCCAGUAUCUAAGGUGGUAUAAGCAACUAUUAUGUACCAAGCUGACAUUAUGCUUAGCACUUGCAUCAGGCACAAAUUGUAGUAUUACUAAAAGCAUAGAUUUUCGUCUUACCUGAUAGCAGAUCAGCAGUCGUUCACUGUGGCCACACCCCCGACAACGUCGGCCACCAACCUGAUAAGCAGACCAGUUAGACUAAGUACGUACGAAUGACCACCAUAUGCUAGGUUCUUCUUUUUCAAGUCAAUCUGGUCUAUACUUCAAUAUCUUAUCAGAUAUUUGCUUUCUGCUACAAAAUUACAUUAAUAUAGCCACUCAACCUUGAUUACUCUCAUGGAAGUAUAAACAAAAUCUCUGAUGCAGAUGUUAAGCUUUUGGCCAUGUUCGCUAUCAGAUGAACGAUGAUCGGUUAUUACUACUUAUUACAUCAUGAGAAGUUGAGACCUCGUAGUUUCUUAAAGAGACACGCUAGUUGGCAAAGGAGAGAUAGGUAUGCAUGAUACAACAAAAGGUGCAGAUACUACCAAGCAAAGUUAACAGCUUGAACAAUCGAUAUAACAAGCAACAGCCACCAUGAAGAAAUAGAAAGAAAUACUUGAGCUAAAGUUUGCAUGCCACUAUCUCUCCUUUCUUUAGCUAGGCUGCAUAAAAAGUUUACAAGAUUUCAGUACUUUCCAUGAAAUGAAACCUAACAUUAUGUGAAAGCAUGCACUGAAUCAUCCAUAGCAAAAUGAAGACAAAAAAUGAAUAUACACCCCAUUGGUGCAAUGCACAAGAGUGAAGAAAUCCUCACCGGACAGAGCUUCUACAAGGCCUGAUUCAAGUCACCUGAGCUGGUCCUUUAGUCUGUUGAGUUUGCUGUCAUCCAAAAAGAGACAAUUCAGUAAGACCUCACUCACCCAUUCAGCUUUAGCUUAUAAAUUGUACUUCAACCCAAAUUAAUCAUCCAAAAACUACACCCUUAGUCGGCAAGUCACUAACAAUUGUUUUCUGAGAAGAGGUCACUAACGAUUGCUGGGGUCAUGCUGUUGGUGAACAGGUGAGGUUUGGGGAUUUUCUUUCUUCACUUUAUUAUGGUUGGAUAGAAUGGUCAAUUAUAACUAAGGAAAUUCAUGAAAUGCAUAUUUACGCUUUUCACUAAACAUCUCUUGGAAUGGCGGUGACCCUUUUAUUCUAAAGAAUAAUUCAGAGAGCUUUGAAGUUUCCAUUGCUUUUUCAUUUCAUGGUAAGAUAUGGGAAAUACUCGAGGCUACAAUCACACUUAACUCUGGAUUUACACUUUGAAGAAACAUAUAUGACCUGAUAAAGUUGCAGUAUCAUCAAAUAAAUGGUAAAACUCCUAAGGGGUAACUAAUGAAGCAUCACAACUUGUUUUCGCGUAUUCGUGAGAGGUUUGUAGUAACUAACGGACUAUCACUUCUAGUUGGGUUUCCCCGAUAGACUAUGCCAGGAUCUCCGCUGCUGCAAGACCUCCUCAAGCCUCCUGACGGCUCUGAUCAAGCUGCCUUUGAGCACUUGGGUCAUCUCCUAUUGAGAGAUACCUAACAAUCCCCUGCGCGAAGAGGCAAAGAUCAGCAAACUUCAAACCCAAGAAUACGACCACACGUUAGUUGCUUCAGUACAUGAACAAAGCAAGUGGAAGCAGAUUUGAAGCAACUGAAGGGUGACACCUUCAGAAUUUAGAAAGAAGUCCACAUAACCCCCUGGAGUUUCAGAAACCAGCUAAUCCACCCCCUCAGCUCAAAUACCGGCUAAUUAACACCCUGAGCUCAUCAAAACCAGGCAGAGCACCCCCUCAAGCUGAUUAAAGUAGUUUUUGCAGGCGGUUUAGCCUACAUGGCUCUGGCCGAUUGCCAGGUCGGCUUGGUGGAAGGCACGAUGCGAUAUGAAGACGGCGCCGAAAGUUUCACCCAAUCCCCAAUCCCUUCCUCUCUUUCUCCUCUGUUCGUCACCAUGGCCGCCAGCUAAGCUCGUCCUCCCCUGUUCUCUAGUUCCUCUCCUCCCAAUCCCUAGUUCCUCUCCUCCCCUGUUCGUCACCAUGGCCGCCCUACCUCCCUAGUUCCUGUCCUCCCCCGAAUCUCCAUUCUCACAGGACCAGGAAGCGCACUAGACGAGGAUGGCCCUCGGCGUGGCUCUACGGAGCAGUGCAAGUUUGUCUUGUGGUCUCAGUUAGACAGAAAAGUUAGAAGCUCUUCAGAUGAUCAAAGGUAGGCAAACCAAACAACUUCAUCAGCUUACAGAAGCAAUGGAGCAUCUUUCAACAAUUUUUUCUUUAGUUUCACCUUUUGUUGCUGGUAUGGUUGUCUCAGUUUAGUUGACAAGAAAGAAUUCAGAGAAUGCAAUUUUUUUUAGUGAAAUGUAUUUCUGAGUCUGCAACCUGUUGCAUAUGCACAUAUAUAAGUAUUCUGAAUACAACCUGAUUGCCAUCCUGGCAUCCUGCCUUGGAUAUAGGCUGUUAGGUUUGCUGGAGGCUUUCCAACAUGAACCCCCACUCUCCCAUGUCCCCCAGCAAGGGAAUUCAGGAGGUCAAUCGCAAGCACCUCACCUGAUUAACAACAGAAACCUAGACCAACACAGUGACAGUGACAAAAUCAACUGUAGAAGAAAGAGAAACCAAAGAAAUGCCAGAUCAAAGGUGGAGGUACUGCUUCUUCAGGCUGUGAUGGUCAUGGGGGUCAGUCUGCUAGAGAUUUCACUGAAUAUGCUCACGUAACGUGCUACAAUUGUGGUGAUCCUGGACAACAUAAGUCCAUGUGUGAUAGAAUUAAAAAGUGUUUCAUCUAUAAGGCUACUUCUCGUCAAGUACUGUAGAUGCUUGUCCUGUCAAAAAGAUGCCUCACCAGGUUGCUAAGUACUCCCUUCAUUCCUAAAUAUAAGUCUUUUUAGAGAUUUCAAUAUGGACUACAUACGGAGCAAAUCUACAUCAGGUCUGCCUCCUUGGGUAUAUUGCCGGCUGUCCUCGGGGGCGGGCGUCGUCGGCUGACUCCCCCCGUGCUGGUGGUCAGGCCUGAGAGGCGGGUCCUUCCAGCCGACCUUCGGCACUUCCCGCAGAGGCAGACGCCUCCCAGUUCUCUCCUGGCGCCCCGCGUCUUUCCGUCAACUCACAAGUAGGGCGCUCACUACCUGGGGUGGUCGCGAUGUACAACAGUAGAGGUUACUAUUAUUCCUACCGUCAAAGUAAUUAAACUGGUAGCGUAAUUACUAUAGUACUCCCUCUGUAAACUUGUAUAAGAUCGUUUAGAUCACUACUUUUGUGAUCUAAAAGAUCUUAUAAAGUUUACGGAAGGAGUGGUAAUUAAGGAGGAUCAAGCAAACAUCACGAGACGACAAACCUACCAAAAGAGGGUAAGAAACCAUCCAAUCCAAGAAGUUAAAAGAAGCGACUCGACCGCCACUUUCUUCCUCUCAUCUCCCCCUCUCUCUGGACUCUGACUCUGGUCAAAGCGAGCGCCAGUGCAGUGCUCUCCCGCCGAAACAAGAAAGGAAGCCAAGGAAAAAGAAGAAAAACCACGGACAGACGGAGCAAGUGAAGAAAGUUGGGUUUUCCAUCAAUUAGCAAAUUAAUUACCAGUCGGGGAAGGGUAAUAACACGUCCAAAAGUUACAGUCCUCCACUAGCACUACCCUACCCAGAGCGCAAAACCUGAGCAGCUGGAAGUGGGUAUACCUCCUCAUGCUACAAGCCUAUCUUUCUUCAAUCAGGCUUCUAUUUCUACUCUGCAUCAACAUCAUGGCGUGGAGGAGCCUUCUACUUCUGCCCACACUGGAGCAGUAAAAAUGGCGGGUCCGCACAAGCACCGCCCUCUCUGAGCCCCGAGGCGCCGGGGGGAGCUCACGCGGUCGUGCGCGCGAGGUACUUGCCGCAUUCGUAGCUCAGUGCCUGGAGCACCGCCGAGCACAGCGAGGGGACCAGGACGGCGCCGGGGAAGCCCAGGGCCUCGCAGACGCCUUCCGAUGGCACCGUCGUCGAAACUGUUUGAGACCAAUCGGUCUCUGUCCAGACCAAACCAAUCCAGCCCCAAAAAAAGUAUAGCCCAGAGCAAACUAAAUUAACGUAGUUUGAAUCCAAUGACAGCCCAAUAGGAAACCAAACUGAAACUGUAGUUUGAAUCCAAACUAUUCACAGGUUUACCUGUGCCUAGGGAUGCCAAGGCGGUGUUCAGGCCCGCGGAUGAGGGCUCCGUCGCGAUCCUGCAACAACAGCAAAGGCACAUGCCAUCGCUAUUUUCAGCGCAUGCAGAGAAAGGGUUUCGGCGGGCAAUGGAUGGUGGCGGGGAGGAACCAUGGUGCUUACGUCAGAUCAAAGCGGUCCGUGUCUGAGGUCAUCGCGGCGCAGACGCCCAAGACGAUCCACGGUGGGAGAGCUGCGUCCUUUAUCUCCAUGCUAUAAGCACAUGCUGCCCGCCGCAAGAGGAGGAUCAGACGCUGCUGAUCCAGGUUCUCAUGCGUCACCGAAACCGUCAGACGAGGCCAAGCCGCUGUCAGCUUUCCUCAUCUCCCUGCAUAUCACCUGCAAGACAAUGUAUUCAGGGAGGGUAUAAGAUUUUCCGAGUUUUUGCACAAACACAGCGAAGCGUUAUAAAACCAGUUUCGAAUUUGAGUGGAUGAAUAAGGUGCUUCUAGACCGAGUGUUCAGAAACUUGUUGACAGAGAAUCCAGUGAACAAAAUACUUGACACUAACAAUAAUUGUGCAAUAGUAGCACCACAUGGUUAGUAACUGGACGUAAAUGUGAGUGCGUGAAACCAUUUUGCUUGCGGCGGCAAGAAAAACAAAGUCAAUGGAAAUGAAAUUACCUCCGGACUAUGGAGGGAGGCAACCAUUUUGAAAUGGCACCGGUGAAUAUAGCACCGGGACGUCUGUGGAAGAUAAUGAAUUCAGAAAGGACCUGGAAAAAGAAAUCACAAGAUUAAAUUACACAACAUGAAAACACAGGGGGUUAAAAGAAAAAGAAUGAUUAUUACAGAUUAAGCGCCCUACUUGUAGUUCAACAAUACAUCAUAUAAGCCAUGAACGCUCUUAUUGCCAGUAAAUGAAAGGAGUGACUGCGAGGUGUUGUCUACCUCAGAUAAACAUCUAUAUGAAGUGUCUGCCCAUCCAAUAGAAAACAAUCACAAUCAGUCAGUAGCUGCAGCCUUACUAGAGCAAAUAAAGGCAAGUUGAAGAAUCAAAUAGAACCUGGCCCAGGUUGAGUGUUCGGAUUUUUGAGAAUUCGAUCAGGUUGUCUUCAGUAGCCUGCUCCACUUUGGCCUUGCAAAGGGGCAUAGAAAAGCAAACACCCUGCAACAAUGCAGUCAUAUGGUCACACAUUAUGAUCGCAAGUGACAAUGAUGUUUUAACCCAGUACAAAGAUUGAAAUCAACACAGCUUGGAUUGGCCUGGAGCAAUUCGAUGCCCUAGAGACCAACAUACCAAGUUAAUAUUUCAUUCCUAUUAUGGUACUCCCUCUGUAAACUAAUAUAAGACGUUUUAGGUCACUAAAGUAGUGACCUAAAACGUCUUAUAUUAGUCUACAGAGAAAUACCAAAUAAGGGUAGAAAAUUGACUUCAACAACCAAAAAGAUGUUUCUUUCAGUAAAAUGGGCAAACAGAAGAAGCAUUGGGUUUAAUCACAAAAGUAUUAAAGCUUUAUUCACAUGUGGAACUAGUGUGAUGUUGUAACUCAUAUGUCGUAGUCCCCCAAAAAAUGGAAGUGGAAAAUGAAGAAAUCUAGAAUAGACUUGAAAAAUGGAAGUGGAAAAUGAAGAAAUCUAGAAUAGACUUGCCAACCAAUAAGUCGAUCUACUUGAGUGAAGUAACACUUAGAAGUUGCAAGCAGUAACAUACAUAAUGGUUGGUCAGUAACAGAAAUGUGGUACUGUAAUAGGGAUUUUAAAAAGAAAUGUGAAACGAUGAUGAGGUCGGAAAAAAAAAUUAAAGGACCGACCUGUUUUCGUAGUAGUGACCUCAUGCCACGUGUAGAUUGUGAUAAGUAGGCAUUACAGGACUGCUUCUCCAAACAGUUUCGUUGAUAAAUAGAGCAACAAAUUGUGCCGCAUAAACUACAAUAACAAAAGUGAUGUUCAGUAAGAUGAACGAGGGUGAGCCAUAAAGUAACAGUCUAGUAGAACCUUAAGAUUCAAUACUUCCAAGGAAAAUGAAAUAUAACUGCAAUCGAAGGUAUUCUUGAGACAAAUGUGGAAUCUUAACAUGUUUAGAAUUCUUUGUACAUGUACAAAAACAGUUAAAUUUUCCAUAUAUAUGACUUAUCAAAUUAUUAUGAAGGAUUGAGGUCUGAGGAGCAAGAAGAUACCAUAGAAGAUAUUCAACAGAUUCUUCCGGAACAUGUAGUAAAGAUUCUGAAAAGAAUCUUCCCAAUCCUGAUACCUUUUGUGAAUGAACUCUUUUUCUACAUGCCAGAAGGAGAAAAGGUAAAGAGAUACAUCCACAAAAGUACGAGGAUAUUGUAUCUUUAAAAGCACACAAUAGUUCAGGUCUAGUAAUUACCUCCUCGUGCAGUUGAUGAGAGCAUAGCAGAUACGAUGGGAGCAGGUAACAUGGAUUGUGGAUAUACCCAUGACUGCAGUGCCUUCGAGAACAAGAAUUCCUUGUUGCUCUCCUGCCUCAUGUGUCCUGAACUUUGAGACCUACCUCCAGCAACACUGCCCCUACAACUUGUACUCAAAUUGUGACACCUGUUGCAGGCAAGAGUUAUUAUACUUUGGGCCUUUGAGGCAGAAAAUCUAAACAGAGACGACAGGGUUCAAUUUGCAGUAAAUUUCAAUUAAUUUCCCUAGCGACUGUAUGCUGAACUAGACAUGAUACCACUUGGAGCACUGGAUCAUACAGACAUCAAUACUUAACUGAAAUUUCUGGAAAAAAAAUUGCAGGUGUAGUAAGCACCCAAUGAGACUAAAUGACUAAGAGGCGCAUACCAUUUACAUAUCUAAUUUUCAGAGUGUCAAUCUAAGAUAUGUCACCGGUUCAAUCAAGAUACUCAUGAACUUUCUCUGGGAAGGGUGCAUUUUCUAAAUGAAAACAAGAAAGAAAUGCAAGAGAAGCUAAUGCAUACGCACCACUUCACAGAAGAUGAUGACACAAACUGCAGGGUAGUCUUCAAGGUGAGAUCCAAAGGAGCUCUUUUUCCUGGUAUUGUGAUUUGGAAGGGCACGCCUCUGAAGACUUCAAAGGAACGUCACCAGCCUGUAUGUUAGUGCCACUGGAAGCUCCAGAAGCACCACGAGCUCCGAACCCUUUCAUCACUUUGUCCUACACAAAGUACUAGAAAGAUUAGAGGAUGAGGUAAUAUAUACAUAUACUGUAGUGCACUAGGUGGACGCUCCUUACCAUGUCGAAUUUGCUAGAGCCAGCCUGCUUCUCAUCACCAAUGUGAAGCUCUGAUACACUCCGCAGAGCAUUCUUGCUGCAUUUCUCAGCUUUCCUAAAACCUGGUUUUGCUGCUUCCGCGAGCGAUGGAACAGAAGAGUCCAACUGGGCAGAGUCGCCAUCGCUGCUGAAUUUUGGGGAAGAAAACAAUCCAAAUAAGAGCAUGGACAUGGCAUGAAACAAGAUCAACUGUCUCUGGUAAAAUAAUUACCGUGGAAACGGAGAUUCUGCAGACUGUGAAGCCGUUACAGCAUCAGCAGACUUGGGAGCCUUCUCAUUGUUCAGUAAAGCAUCCUGCUUUCAAGACAUUAUUACAAGUUACUUAUACAACAAAACAAGUGGUUCAACACGAUGCUGUCAAAUACUUGGAGAGCAAUGAGCAUCAUUUUCUUUAACAAGACACAACGUCUAACCUUACAAUUUUCUUUCCCAACGUUUCUGGAUUUUUUAACUGGGAACACCUCUGUGACACGAGUGCUGAUGUAUUUGGAUAUUUUCUGCUGUUCUGGGUUCCGAGGCCCAUUGCUUGGCCUAUACCCACAAGAUCAGUCAGGCAUCAAAUUUCCCAACAAAGCAGACACAAGAGGAGAGGAACAUCACGAUACAUGAUUACGAGAGAACACUUUAUACCUAUCAAACGCCGCGGAAGGGAGUGACUGAUCAUUGGCAACCUUUUCAGACACGCGUCGCUUCAACUGCUCAUCCUGCAGGAAUCAAUCGAUAGAACAAGUUUCAGUGUUCGUCUGCGACCUUGUAGCAUAUAAUGCUUCCGGCAAGAUAUGCUACAUUUUCAGUGUGUAAUAAUGUGGCAAUGUGAGGUGGAGACGAAGCUCUAGCAGGCCCCUCAUGUCUCCUCUUGUAACAUAAAACCCUUUGUAAGAACAAAUCACUCUCCUGAAAUCGAUGAAACACGGAACCUAUUGUCUUCAUAACACAUUCAUAAGUGAAAGCUGACAACACGGUUAAUUCGCAGCACACUUAGCUGUACAUAAGCAUGUAUACCAGUAGAUUACAAUGCAGCACUGCAUCAAACGCUUGGCUAAAUUCUGGUGCAGUGCAGCUACUCUCUGGCUGAAACCUAAGCGCUGUAAACGGCUGGAUGUGGAUGUGGCAUCGUUUUCAAAUGGGUAAUAAACUCCUUUCUUUCAAAAUAACUGCAGCGCUGCAUCGAGAUCUUGUUUGGGCGCUGCAUCAAGAUCUUGUUCGGCGUCGCGUGACGAAGCUAGUUCUACUGAUAAGGAACUGUCAUGGAUUGGGGAUANNNNNNNNNNNNNNNNNNNNNNNNNNNNNNNNNNNNNNNNNNNNNNNNNNNNNNNNNNNNNNNNNNNNNNNNNNNNNNNNNNNNNNNNNNNNNNNNNNNNNNNNNNNNNNNNNNNNNNNNNNNNNNNNNNNNNNNNNNNNNNNNNNNNNNNNNNNNNNNNNNNNNNNNNNNNNNNNNNNNNNNNNNNNNNNNNNNNNNNNNNNNNNNNNNNNNNNNNNNNNNNNNNNNNNNNNNNNNNNNNNNNNNNNNNNNNNNNNNNNNNNNNNNNNNNNNNNNNNNNNNNNNNNNNNNNNNNNNNNNNNNNNNNNNNNNNNNNNNNNNNNNNNNNNNNNNNNNNNNNNNNNNNNNNNNNNNNNNNNNNNNNNNNNNNNNNNNNNNNNNNNNNNNNNNNNNNNNNNNNNNNNNNNNNNNNNNNNNNNNNNNNNNNNNNNNNNNNNNNNNNNNNNNNNNNNNNNNNNNNNNNNNNNNNNNNNNNNNNNNNNNNNNNNNNNNNNNNNNNNNNNNNNNNNNNNNNNNNNNNNNNNNNNNNNNNNNNNNNNNNNNNNNNNNNUGGCCCGACCUCACUUUCGCUCCGUCCCGAACGCGGCGGCGGGGGCGGAAGCGGGGGCCCCGCGGAGGAGGGUUUCUUUUGGGUAGGGAUUGGAGACGGUGGAGCGAAGCGGAAGCGGGCGGGCGGCGGAGAGGGGAGGGAAAGAUUUUCCCCACCGGGUCCGGGCGACAGGGAGGGAGCCGAGUAGAGAGAAGCCGAGAGUUUCGGGGAAAUUUCGGCCCAGCCCGCGCUGCUUCCCUCCCACGCCCAGGCCACGCCCCGCGCCAAUUGUCUCAAAAAAAAAAUCCUCUUCUAUCCCUAAAAAGACCAAUUUCCUUUUUUUUUAACGCAGUACAAUCGAAAUCGCUCACAUACACGAGCAUGCACUACCCCUAUGAACGCACGCACGCACACGCAACCCCUGUGAGCACCUCCCAGAGAUUGAGCCGGCAUAGCAUCCUGAGAUUUUACCAAGUCACCAAAGGCGCCUUGCCGUCGACGGGACCGUAUCCUCCCACUGAAUGAACAAAGCUGGAAGACUGAAAUAAAUCCAGCAAUUAUGCGAGCACCAGUGUCAAGUUUAAGACUUAAAAUCUGAUGGGAUUGGGAUACCACUGUCCUCCUAACCAUCCAACCACAUAUUGGUCCGCAUUUCCUCUUCUUUGUGGGACCCAUCCAACAAGCAAGUAGCAAGUUCACUAAAACACACCUCAAAAAUCUACAGUCUAUCUAUCUACUACUCCUGUAAAAAUCAAGUGUGUUGUGUACAUCAUGCUCCACAGUCGUCCGAAGGUCGGGCGAAAGGUUGUCAUCACUGUAACAGAGCUCUAUGAAAUAGGAAGGACGAAGAACCAAAGCAUUUGCAUCGUUGAUAUUUCUCCAACGUAUCUAUAAUUAUUGAUUGUUCCAUGCUGUUAUAUUAUCAUUCUUGGAUGUUUUAUAUUCAUUUUAUAACAACUUUAUAUCAUUUUUUGGGACUAACUUAUUGACAUAGUGUCCAGUGUUAGUUGUUGUUUUUUGCUUGUUUUUUACUUCACAGAAUAUCCAUAUCAAACGGAGUCCAAACGCAGCGAAACUGUUUCGAGAUUUUUUUUCUGCUUAGAAGACAACUUGGGAGCCAAGGAAGUGCCAGAGGGGAGGCCCGUGGGGCCCACUACCCACCUGGGCGCGCCAGAGGCCCCUAGCGCGCCCUGAUGGAUAGUGGGACCCACAAAGGUCCUUUCCACCGCCUCUCAGCUCUAUAAAUACCCAAAUAUUCCAGAAACCUCGACGAAACAGAAUUCCACAUGAUGACUGUCGUCACAUGAUGAUUGCCCAGGCGGCGUUCCGGCGCCACCAGGAGAGAGGGUGAGAGAGCCCUCCUCCUUCUUCUUUCUUGGCCCCCUAGAUGGGAGGAGGGUUUCCCAUCAGGUCCAUGACCUCCAUGGCGGUGGAGUGGCAGCAUCCCUCGAUAUUGGAUCUCUCUCUCUUUCUCUGCGUGUGUGUUCUCUUCUAUUGUGUGUAACUUGUUCCUGGCCCUUCACUGUUUCUUGAAUUCCCGAAGAUCUGUAACUCCGGUUGGGAUGAAAUUUUGAAGGGAUUUUCUUCUAGAUAUUAUCUUUUUUGUGGCGAAAGAAGGGCAUUAACCGCUUUAUAGGGACCCCACAAGCCUGGUGGGCGCGCACCUCGAGCUUGUGGGCCCCUCGGGCAUCAGUUCCCGUUGAUUCUUUUUCCAAAAAAUCACAUAUAUUCCAAAAUAAUUCUCUGUAAAUUUUUAUCUAUGGAACAAUCCUAUUUCACAUAUAUGAGAGUUAAUUCAAAGCACUUCCAUUGAUCCCCACAAUAAAUACA